rnacentral:lncRNA from 1 species
AUCUUUCAGCCAAGAAAACAAAACCCGUAAGUUUCGGUAAGAGUAGAGGUUUCAGGUUAUCAUCACUUGUGUAAAGUCAAUCUCCAAGAAGAUUAAGAAGUUUUCAGACAAGCGUAAGAAGAUUAAGAAGAUUAAGAAGGGAAUUAGGAUAAUGUGAUGGUGACAAGUUAUCCCAAAACUGAUAGUGACAAGCAUAAGAAGUUUGCAAAUCCUCUUUGAAGAUCUGUUUUAGGUUGAUCUAUGUGGCAAUUAGUGGGGCUGACUAGGACAGUAACCGGAGGUUCCCACGUGGAGGAGAAGUGCAAGUUGGCUCGCUGGGGGGAUUACAUUGCAGCCCUCUGGACCCCUUUGAAGAAGAAGAACUGAAGCAGAAGAAGAAGAAGGUGGCUCCCUUUUUCAUUGAUAUUCUACGAAAAAAUGAAGGAAACUAAGGACAUCAUCACUUUUUCAUUGAUAUUCAACGUCUCUAAUACGACUAGCAAGUAGCAACACACGUCAUACACCAUCCCUUUUGUUCCCAGAACUAGAAGCAAAUAGUCCGACAGUGAAAAAAGUUUCUUAUUGUAAAAGUUAAACAGUUGGAUGUUUGGAUUAGUUGUUAAAGUCCCUUUUUGUUCUUGAAGUUGAACCGUUAAGUUUCGAUUUGCUUAGCUUUCUUCUAUGCUGUAAUUUUUGGUUAUCUUGGCGUAGUCCACCUCGUUUCAUCUUCUUUAAUAAAAUCUCAGGUAUUAUGAAUUUCUUCUCCAUUCUGUUCGGAUGGGGAGGGGGGGGGGGGGGGGGGCGGGGGGGGGGAAAUAUAUAUAAUCAUCAAGAGACACUAAUCAAUUUCAAACUAGAAUGGACACCCAAAACAACCUCAAAUAUAAUCUAUCAGAACACCCCUAUAACACUUGCUGUAAUGUUACACUUUUCAGUUCAGCAAACUUUUCUAUAAACUUAUAAUGAUUAAUCAUACAAGUCCACUCAGUAAAUGACUUGUCUCCUCUAUUUUUGAGAAACAGGAGAACUAUCAAUGGGAUAUCUUUGCCGCGGUGGACGCCUUGUUCCAACCUCCAGUCACUGCCAUACUUCUUUCCUCAAGUUCCUGCAGCUCUCCACACUGAGGCUGCUGCUCCAUCUGGGGCUGACUAAAUGCAGCCUGCACAGCGCUAGUAGUAGAUAGAGUGCAAGUUCCCAAACGCUUCCUCCCUCUUCCCCCGCCAACCUUACCAGCAUUUCUCUGGGAUAAACCUGACUGCCAGCUGCCACCACUUGCUCUAAUUGACCCUUCAAAUGUUUGAAGAUCCUCAGUCACCUCAUUUCUUGACAAAAUAAAUACUCUUUUAUUAUAAGUUACUGUUUCAUGGGUACUUCCAACUACAGAUAUAUUUUUUCAGAAAGUAUGUACCUGUUAAUGAGAAAUAGCAUUCUUCGAUAUAACAUCAAAAGUAACUCCAUUUUCUUGAAGCCUUUCUUGAAGAUCAGUUGGUCCAAAUACAAUCCCAGCUGGGAGAACUCCUCCCUUUGGAAGGUCAUCGCGUUGGCUCAGAACAAUAAGAGCACAUUGAAGUAGAAUUAUCGGGGUCGUUAGGUAUCCAAUUUCAGGUCCCAUAACUCUUGUUACUAUUUCCAUAUCAGGUUUUGUGUUUCCCUGAGAAACAAGACUCCUGUCGCUGAAACCACGUCCAACAAACCACAUCUUAAAAGAAGCACUUCUCACCUCCUCAUCAGAUGGACCCUCCUUUCUGAAUAAUCCAACACUGAAGAAUGAGGGAACUUUAAAGCAACCACCUCCCAAAGGAAAUAGACCCAAGAGCCCAAGAAAGAGUCCAAAAAUCAUGAUCCGAAUAAUGCCCAACAGAGACUUGGUGCCUAUCUUCACCCCAAAAUGAGCUGGCUUCACUGUUGACCAGAAGGCUUCUCUUUUCUUAAUAUGUUCAUCAGUCUCAUUCCUCCCUGGAAGACCACCAGGAUUUUCAGUCAGAGCACCAAGUGUUCUUCGUACAACAAUAGCAUCUGCUGAAGGUAGCUUCACAGCCCAAAGACCAAUCUUUUUCUGGUGUUCAAUGAUUGGUCCUUUAGAAGGAGGAGGACCAGGAAUCUGCAAACAAAAAAGGUAAAUCAUGAUCAAUCAAUUGAACUCCCUGGCCAUUAAGAUACAUAUCAAUCUUUGUUCUCAACCCCCAAAAGCUACAUUUUUUAGUGUCUAUGCCGCAAACAUUUGAAGGAGAACUGCAAGGUAUAAUUCUAUAAACUAUGAAUCCCCUAUAUCAUGCAGCAAUAGAACUAAAAAUGCAUGAGUAAGCCAUUCUACAUGUGUCUUGGCUACCAAUAUUCUACUGUUAGUUUCUGAUAAAACUUGUAAACUUAGUGUACAAAGACGUGCAGGGUAUCAUAUAGCAAUGGAUGUACAGUACAUAACUACCAAUAACCAAACCACUGAUUACGUCAGUAAGGAAUUUGAACAAAGAUACAACAAAGAACUAAGAAACACAAGCCUCAAUUGUCGUUCUUUACUAACUAACCAUAACGGCAUGUAAAGUUCUAAGCUGCCACUGGCUAGUUUAACAUUUCAUUUCUGCUUUCCCCUACAUCACUAUCCACAAAAACAGAACACAGCAGCAAAGUUUUCAACUUCAAACAACAAAACCAAUCAAGCAAUCAACAACCCAAAAAAGUAUGGUAAUCUAAUCAAACUCAUUACUUGCAGCCUCGGUUUUUUCGGCCUGGACCGCCGGAGCGCAUUGGCCACACCCAACACCACCGACUCAAACGUCCCAAAGUUCCCCGCAAUCCUCUUAUCACUCUCCAAGCUCAAAUAAGCCUCCACCCUAUUCGGUACCGCCGCCCCCUCCCACUGCCUCGAGUUAAACAUCACUCCAAGCUCCGCCGGAACAGAGUCAAACCCGCAUGCCGAAAUGACCAAACUACCCUUCUCCGCGGCCUUUUCAAAGUAACUCGCUUCCAUCCUCUCCAUGAACUCCGGCUCUCCGCAUAUGUCGAGAUAGUCACAGCCGCUUUCCACGCAUGCAGCGACGACUGGCUCGCCGUAGAGGCGGAAGGGUCCCACGCAGUUGAGGACGAGGCGGGUUUGGGAGCAGAGGCGGCGGAGGGAAUGAGGGUCGGAGGUGUUGGCGGUGAGGAUGGGAAUGGAGGGCGGUGGAGGGUUUGGGGCGGCGGCCCAUGUGAGGGUUUGGGAGAUCUUGGUGGGGUUGCGGCCGGCUAAGGCGAGAGAGGUGAGAGGUGAGGAGGGAGUGUUGAGGAACUUGAGGGCUUCUUUGACGACGUACUUGCCGGUGAAGCCGGAGGCGCCGAGGAUGAUGAGGUCGUAGGGAGGAGUGGGGAGGUCUGACGUCAUGUUUGAGAGGGAGUGAGAUUUGGAGUGUGAAGAUUGGAGAUGAGGGUUUGACUACUUUUAUAGAGUGAUGAAACUGCGGUGUUACCUAUGUCGGUUUGGUUCUUAAUUUCUUAUCCAGUACGGUUUGUUACGGUGGUACCAUGAUCUAGUCAGAAGCAGACCAUGUCAUCCUUGUUUAAGUCUUUUUAUGGGUUUUUAGUGACCGACGUAGAGUCGCUGAACGCCGCAAAUAGUUAAGAGCGGUGGUGAACCGGUGGAUGGUGGUGGUGAAGUACGAAAGUUUGGUGAAGAAUCGAUCUUGAAUUGGAAGCUCCCUUUAAUUUUUGCCUAAUCGAUCUUAAAUCAAUCUCUAAGUAUUCAUGUGUUUAUUAUUAACACAUGGAAGAAUCUGAAUGGGUAUAUACAUCAUCUUCUUGUGAGAAAUAGAUUCGUAAAUACAAAAGAAUUUAUUUUCUUUUUUAAACGAAUAUCAAAGAAUUUUUAGGUACAUAUAUAUGUCAGGAAUCAACCAUCUAGAAUCGAUACUUAUUCACUUAUUCUCUCGUUCCACUUGUCCUCAAUUUAAUAUUAGUUUUUAUUAGUAACAAAUAAACUUGUCACAUAAAGAGAGCAAAAUGUCUAAGGAUUUAAUGUGGCAAAAAAUUAAACGGUCCAUGUCUUCGAGUUCGGUCGAGCGGCCAUUUCCGGUGAUCAGCUCAUGCAUUUUAUGAAAGGCAAUGGUGAUGACUGAGACACAAUCCGAAUUGUGGCAGGACGAUGCAACCAAAAAAUGAUGAAGGUAUAAGGCUGUUGACAAUCCUUAUAUAGAAUUGACUAGCGACGUCGAGUAAGUUAAAGUCUAUUAACCAACCCUGCUGCAUGCACUUAAUCGCACUAAUGCAUUUUUAUUUUUAGCAGAAACACAUAACCUCUAUUAAAUUUUGGGGAUUUCUUAUAAUUUUCAUCAACAAUUUCAUAAGUAUUUGAAAUUAUGUCCGCGAUGUACUACGAUUUUGAACAACCUAUGAAGAUUAAAACAAUUGGGAGAUUGGUCUUGCACAUCUGAAGAAUAAGUUGAAGAAGUAGAAGAACCAACAUGAUCUCAUGGAACUCAGGUAAAAUCAUGCAUGUGCAUUUCAUGAUUUUUCACAGAGGAUAGCAGUAUCACUUGUCAUCCUAAAAAUCUGGGUUUCUAGCUUUUUGAUCUUUUGUUCUGUUGUCUUAUGUUUAAGUUUCUUUACCCUUGUGACAUUAAUUUUAUGUUUGGGAAAGAUCCUAGUUUGAAUUUCAAAUUGACAACAAGAAUAUUUAAAGGUCUUGCCUUUGUGCUCAAUUUAGUUUUGGGUUUGAUGCUUUUGUCUCAACCGUGACUCAUGGUUUAGAGCUCUAAGGCUAUAAUUGUGUUUGUGAUACACAAACCAAUAUAGCAGCUGUCUUUAUUUGAUAUCAGAGAAAAAGUGAUUUGCUAAACCAAUGUGGUAUUAUGUUUUUGGAAAAAAGUUUGCAAAACCUUUUGUCUCUUGCUUUAAAUCAAACAUUGUUUAAGAUAGUUUUGUUUGUUUCUUUCUUGGCUUAGGACAUCUGUAUAUGCCCUCUCCCUUUCAAAGUUUGGCCAAGGACAAAAGUCCAAAACUCUUUCCUUGCUUUGGCCCUCGUGCCUGCCCUCUUGUCGCACCUCUUUGGCUUGUGUUUCUCUCUUGUUAGAGCACUCCAUCAGCCUAUAUAUACUGAGAAAGGCUGCCUUUGCUCAAUGGUUGUCAAAAUGUAGUUUUUACAUUUGCAUUGUUGGGUUUUGGUUUUCCUUUACAUUGUUCAUUAGUCUCUAAGUUUUCCUUUUGUGAUUAUAAACCUUAGAGCUGAACAAAACAUUUUCUUUCUCAUAAACUCAUUGCAUUCUGCAUACCAUGAGAUCAGUUGGUAAUGCAGCAACCUCGGAAGUGUUCAUGAAAGAAGCAGCUAAGGAUAGCUGAGUUCUGAUGUAUCCCGCUGAGGUAGCUGGAUUCAUGAAAGAAUCAGUUUAGGAUAGGUGAGUUUUUGAGAGUGAAACUUCUGAGAAGUGUUAUAAAAGAAUCAAUUAACUGAUAGCUGAGUUCUGAGUUGAAACUUCUUAUAUAUUCAUGUGUGGCCACUUAGAGACAAGAGAGGUAGAUCUAGACUAGUUUGAGACUAGGUAGGAUAGCAAGUCAUUGUUGUUUCCUAUACUAUAAUCUUGUAAGGAGUGAGGUACUCAAAAACAAGAAAGAAAAUAUAGAUCUAGACUAGUGGGUAGUUUAAGCAGGAGAGCAAAUCGUUGAUGUAUCCCUAGACUAUAAUCUUGUAAGAAGUGAGUUUUACAUAGUGAAAAAGUUUGUCCCUCAAGAGUUAGGGGCACGCAGUUUUUCUCUCUGGUUGUAGGGUUUCUACGAGUAAAAAAUAUUUUGGUGUUCAUUAUUAUUUUACUGCAACUUUUAUUAUUAUCACUGUGUAUUUGUUAUUCAGGAUAGCUAUAACCCUUGCUAUUCCUGAGAACGAAUUUAUACGGAAAAAAAUUGUUAAGGGCCUAUUAACCCCCCCCCNNNNNNNNNNNNNNNNNNNNNNNNNNNNNNNNNNNNNNNNNNNNNNNNNNNNNNNNNNNNNNNNNNNNNNNNNNNNNNNNNNNNNNNNNNNNNNNNNNNNNNNNNNNNNNNNNNNNNNNNNNNNNNNNNNNNNNNNNNNNNNNNNNNNNNNNNNNNNNNNNNNNNNNNNNNNNNNNNNNNNNNNNNNNNNNNNNNNNNNNNNNNNNNNNNNNNNNNNNNNNNNNNNNNNNNNNNNNNNNNNUUCCUAGGAUCUUUAAAUGAUGAUUAUGAAUUUAUGAUGGAGACAAUGCAUUUGUGUUAUCAAUUCGUGUUUGUGAAAGGCAGUGGCGAUGACUGAGAGACAUACCGAGUUGUGGUAGGAUGGCACAACCGCACAACAUAAAAUGAUGAUUAUGAAUUUAUGAUAGAGACGAUGCAUUUGUGUUAUCGCUUUCGAGGGACAGGUGCUCACUCCUAGAAUGAGGCCUGCAUAUGUGGGCUAUAAUAAGAAUUGUGUGUGGAAAUGGGCCAUGCUGUUCAGCCCACCUUUGAAAUUUUAAAAUAUUGCGCCGCGCUCUUUUCCGCGAAAGGUUGAAGUCUCUGUUUUCAUCCCCAAUUCCAAAUACUGGGAAAUUCCCAAAUGAAUGGGGGAAUCAUUCGGGGAAAGAACGUGUUGGAUAUUAUAAGACAAUUUGUUUCUAAUUUUUGUCAUAGAUCGUUUAGCCGGGGCUAUAUUUUCUUCUCUAUUAGUUCAUAGAAGCUAGGAGAAGAUGCAGAGUUGCAAGAGUUUGGGUUACAGCUUUUCGGAUUUGAGAGGAAUCAAAGCCUAUAGAACUGUUAUGAAUUGAAAACUAACCUCUUACCUUGAGCUAAUGUAAUCAUAAUGCGACAAUUAACUGAAUCAAAUAGUAUUGCUCUCGCUCUUUUCCGCGAAAGUCAUGUCUCUGUUUUAAACCUCAAAUCCCAAAUCAAAACUAAUGUAAUACAAACUCAAUCCAGCAGAGUAAACUGGAAAAUUUGUUUUAGUUAUUAUCUUAUUACAACAAAAGCCUUCAUUUUUUAUUCAAUCAGGUGUAUCAAGUCUGUGGCAGCUAUAGAAAUCAAACAGGUACCUCAUUGGUAUGGUUAUGGUUCUGGGCUUCAUGCUCUGUCUCUCGCCCACCAUUCCUGAUGAUCAGGUCUUUCAAUUUCUGAGAGGCACGAACAACUGCUGCGAUUGCAUUACUUUCGGAAGAGUGUUUUCAGAGACUGGUAAGACUUGCUCACGAACCAUACAAGGCAGAUGCACCAGAAGAAGAGUAGAAUCAUUCCGAAAGGUUCAAUAAGGACGAGUAACUCUAAAAUCAGGGACAGGCUUCCAAGUAAGAUGGUGAUUUUGAUCAUCAGAUCUUCCAAAUCUGCAUCAUUGUUAUCAGCUAGGAUUGCCAGAACAAUCAAAGAGAGGAUGUAAAUGCAUGUCACAAUGAUGAAUACGUUCAUCCGCUGAGAGCCGUAGACCGUCGCAUAUGGAGACACAUUGGGAAACUUGAGUUGCAGGCAGAAUCCCAAGACGCCGAUGAGAGAAAUUAUGCAUGUAUGUAAUUUCACUAUAGAGUAUCCCUGAAGAGCAGCCUCCCUCCUUGUGCUGGUGCUAUGACAGAGAAAAGUAACUUAGUUAAAAGUUGCUUUAUAUCAAUGUCAAUCAAAUUAGUCACUGGGUGUGGAAAAAAAUGAUAAAAACAGCAUAAUUGGAUGAGGAAGUGGAUGUGUAUAGUCUUUGUUACAAAUCGAACAGUAUAAAUGAGUAAUAGCAAAUUGAUACGAUUGGAAACAAAGAUAUAUGUCGAUAGAAAAGACUUUGGCGCCUCCCAAGAACCCGUAGAUAUCUAUUGAGGAAAACAGGGGCCUCUCAACUUUUUUAAUCCGGCACGAGCCCUACAAUGCUGGAUACUAGCAAUCUAGCAUAAGCAGACCAAGUGCUAGCUCAGCUCUUAACUAGCCCCGAACUAAUUACAGGCUAAAUUAAUCAAUAUAUUACGCCAAUUAAAGCUACUUUUAUGAAAGAAUUUGAAUAAACGCUUUGAUCGAACUCCUCAGGAAUGUGAAGAUGCACAACAGCAUUAUAUGAGAUAUAUCCACAGAGGAGUGAAGCAGAGGCCUCAGAGCAAUUGAGCGUAUCUCAUGAGAUUUAUAAUCCAAAGACAGCAUCUACAGUUCAACUGCAAUUUUGACAUAAAUAGAUUUGCAUCCUAGCUGCUCAUGGCUAUGAUCAGGCUGCUCUCUGCUUUAAACAACCCUCUUAAAAUCAAGUACAAGAGAUGCGUAGUAGACCUAAGGAAAAUAAAUAGUAGAAAGCAAGUACAAGAGAUUAAAAAGCAAGUGAAUCUAUUUUGAGCUCAGAUGCACAGAAACGAAACAUGUCUAUAUUACUAACACUUGAGAGGUAACAGAAGCGUUGUCCUCCAUUCCAGUCGGCUGUUUGCCUUCUGAGGCGUUUCUACGUUACAUUUCAAGAACUCAAUCGCGAUAAGAAAGAGGAGAAAGGCCUGCAGUUUGGGUAGUAGGGGUUGGCAGUGCGGUCUGCAGGACCCCGAUCCGUCUCAUUAUGUCAUUGUUUUUUUUGUUUCAACAUUAUGUCUUUGUUUUUUGAAUCAUUAUGUGGGCUGGACUCACACCGACUAGACCUAGAGAUUAUUGCGUGGCCUGGUAUUUUGUUAAUUGUCCUAUUGAUUUGGCCCGUUUAUGUCAUAUUGGAAGAAGGAGAGGAGAACCGAAAAAUUCUGAGGCAGAAAUCUUUUCAACUUGGUCUAAUUAUGUACAGAAUUACAAACUGAAAACAUAGGCAUGAAAUAGAAAUUACAGUGUUACACCGGUAGUUCCUUGCUGAGGUUACUGGUUUCAUCAUGCUCUGUCGAAUAGCGGCUCCUCUUGAUCAAAUCCUUCAAUUUCUCAUAAGCACGACCGAGUCCAGCAACUGAUCCCAUCAAACGGGCAUUUAGUGAGAUCAGUUUCACUUGGAAUUCACCCAAAGCUAGAAUAAGAGCUGCAACUGCUCUUUUGCAUAGUGUUUUAGACAGUUGGUACGAACCAAUUGCAGUGAUCAUCAGAUACAUGCUCUAGAAGAAGAGUGUGAGCCAUCCGAAAGGCGGAAACAAGAUGAGCAACUCUAAAAUAGAAGCAAGAGUUCCAAGCAAGACGCCAAUCUUAUUCAUGAAUUCACCAAAGUCUCUAUUACUCUGAUUGAUUUGGAGUAUCAUGACACUUAAUAAUCCGAAGUAAAGAGAUAUGCAUAGGCGGAAGUAUUCAAGGACCAAGGGGUGCCAUGGCACCCCUCCAACUUUUAUCUCAAUGUGUUUUACUACAAAAACUUGGCCGAAUUUAACCAAACCUAACUUAAACCAUAUACAUUGGCACCCCUCACUCCCUCACGUUUUAGAAGCUCUUGUUGUUUAGUUAUGCUAAUAACUUCUUUUAGAAAGCGUUUCUUAAAGAAAGUAGUUAAUUUAUUCCUAUUCUUAGUACAAUUAUGCUUUUACCUUACAAAUUAUUUUAAUUAGAUCACUGAAACUUAAUGUUUGUAUAUAUUGUACUUCAUAAAUAAUGACAGCGUAUUUAAUAUAAAAAUGAUGUUUAAUUGAGUCUUUUCAUUUUUGUUCUUACAUCUGUCAAUAUGGGUAAAUGAUCGACAAUUCAUGGACUCUUCAAGAGAAAAAGUGUCGAAUCUAAAGCUUGUAUAUUAAUGCAUAUUUAUUAUUAUUGAGGAACUCUAAUAUCAAAGCAAUAGUUCUCAAAAUCCUCCUAUAUCAGCGAAAAUUAACUCUAAUACAAUGAUUUUCGGGAUAUGCAAAAGCGAUGAGUUAAUUUAUGUAUAAUUUAGUUUAUGACUUUAUUAUAUAAUAGUAAGUUUUCAGCCAUCAAGUUUACCCUAUAUUUUUUAACAUUCUUAUAUUGGCCCCCCUCAGAUAUGAUUUCUGGCUCCGCCUAUGGAGAUAUGUCGGUAAUAAAUAGUUUCAUCAGAAUAGUUCUGCGACAGUCUGUCACAAGUGUAGGCGCAUUUGCGAACUCCAGUGGGAGGCAAAGCCCUAAAAUAGUGACGAGGGAGACUAUGCACUUGUGCAGUGCCAGAACAGAACUUCUCCAAAUUGCAAACUCCUCCAUUAUCUUGCUGUGAUGAUCAUAAAUUCGUAAUUCAUGAAUCAUGAGAGUAUUAAUUGGAGUAUAAUGUCAUUGAAAUUAUAUGUAAUAAUCAGCAAGAAAAGGAUUAGUGAAACAAAAAAAUUUAAACAAAAUAUAUAAUCAGCAGGGGAUACAGGGUCCCCUGUCUUAUUUUCAUCAAUAUUAGUGACAUAUCUCUGAGUUCUUAAUCAACAAAUUACUCGAACACCCUGAAUCUUUAGAUUUAAGAAGAGCUCUCAAAAAUACAAAAUCUAUACAUGAUGCUAACAAAUGAAUAUCCUAUUAACAAAUUAAGAGAACUGGUGCCAGAUGCCAUAGUUCAUAUCACAGAAUGUGGAAUCUUUGACGAAGUCCAUUUCCGAAGAAAAAAAUAAGAGUAACAAGAUAUUUGAAGACGCUAGAGUUACAAAUUUAGAGAGAUUCUGAACACUUUAAUGCUUCCAUUUCAUCUAAAAACUUUGUUAAUAUAUUGUUUAGUUCACUAAGGAGGUGGGUGUGCGUAUCAAUUUACUUGAGUAGAAGAAAUUGAAUUGCUAAAACCAAUAGCCAGAAAACACGUUACAUCAUAUGUCAGGCUCUAUAGUCUAUACAAUCUGUCGAUAGUGACCUACAAACACUAUGACCGAUAACCUCAUUAAAAAUAAGCUCGAGAAAAACCUCAAGCGCAGGAAACAAAACCAUAACACUUAAGUUCCAGAAAAGAAUAAACUAGCUAGCUGUUUCCAAACAUAGUGGUUUUGUUUUUCCAACAGAAGUUACAGAAUAAACUAGCUAGCUGCCUCAUUCAAAUAUUUCCAACAGAGUGGUAAUAUUUGAAUGAUAAUAUUUUCUGCUUCUGAAUUAUAAGCUCUUUAAUGUGAUCCUGGGGAGAAAAAGAAGAACUAGCAAUAACUGUAUAUAUAUUGGCAAACUGAAGACUAGCAGCAAACAUGAUCCUUAGGACCAACAGAGCAACCAGGAAAAAGAAAAAACCAAGUAGAACUGUAUCUAGAGAGAAGUAACAAAUUUGAAUCAAGGAAGACCAAAACCAAAGCCAAAAGUAUAUAGUAGUGAGAGGAUAUACUAACAAUGAUAAACGUUGAGACUUGAGAGUUUAAGUGCCCUCCUCCAUUAAUUCCACAUACAGCUUUCUGGGAGCUCUUGCUCUCGGAAAAGACAAUAUGUAGGGGAGACUAGGCAAACAAAAAAAAAAAAAACAAGACGUCAGGUUGAUCUGAUAAAAAUAUAUUAGACGUCUUUUUCUGCUUUUGCGUUUUCGUUUUCGUUGCAUCCGACAUUCACCAGACGAAAAUGUCAAAAAUGUCCAGACGAAUUGAAGAUUUCUGUUGAAUCGAAAUCAAGGAUCAUAGGAGAGGAGCGUAAUUUUGCGUAAUCUUCCGAGUCUUCGCGACUUGGAGAUGAUACUGGACGUCUUUUCCUGCAGUUCUUAAUUUGUUGAUAGCAGACGUGUUUCCAAUUUUUUAGUAGUAGAAUCAAGGAUACUAAUCUGACCAGGGAAAAAGAAUCAAGGAAACUAAAAACGCGGAAUCCAUCAAAUCUUACAUCACCAAUUUUCAUACAUGUUAAACACUUAUGGCACCGAGCACAUUUCGUCUUCUAACUCUUCUAUGAAUACAUUCCCUUUUGGGCUUUUUUUAUCCCGUUGGUUCUCACAUGAAUCUGAGUUAUAUGAUUAACCAGGUACACCAUAUGACGUGGUGUUCCGGAUAUAGAGAAUAAUUACUCUACCUAAAAACAUGGAUAUACUGUGCAACCAAUGUAAAAUCAUUAGAUUAUUCUUUAUUAAGAUUAGUUAUUUUUGCAUGAUGUCAAAAGCGGGGUCUACUACAUUUUUUUUUUUAAGUUUGAAACCUAAUCAAGUUGGGAGGUUCAGCCCUACGUCCGGUUUCAGUUAUUUUAUUGAAAAAAAAAAACAAAAGAGUACAAAGGGUUUACUACAUCACCGCAUGCAUAUGGGUCAUGCUGAUCCGGCCCACUUUGAAUAUUGAUCCCGCUCCUUCUAAUACCCAAUAUUUAGUCUCUGUUUUCAGCUCCAAAAUUCCGAAUGUCAAAUCUCCUAUCGAAAAUUGCCAUCUUCGCUUCAGCUAGUAUAAUUAAUCAUAAUGAUAAUGCGACAGUUAACUGAAUCGAAUAGUAUUGCCGAAAGUGAUGUCUCUCAGUCUCUGUUUUAAACCCCAAACAAAUCCCAAAUCAAAAUUAAUGUAUUACAAACUCAACAGCUUAAGAUUGAAUACUUUUCACUACUAGAAAAAUCUCUACUAGCUACCCCUUUUCAGUUCAAAGUAUUUGGGUGCCCAAAGUAGAUUACUAAUUUGGAUUAGUGCUUUGAGCACAGUUGGGAUCCGACGAGAUAACUAAUAUGGAUUAACAGGUGGGGACAAAUUGGAAUGAGUGUGUAUGACAUUUGAUUCGGAAUCUGUCAGAGAAGGUGUGAGGAGUUGUGGAUUAAGGAUUUCGAGGGUACUUAGCAAUUUCGAGGACUUGAUCGUUUCUAGUUAAAGUGUUUGCCGACUUUAUUAGAAAAAAGAAUUGGUAUGAGGAUCGAGUAACUAUCGACAUUCCAGAAGCAUAAGAAUAAUGAUUUCAGAAAGCAAGUCAUUGUGUUAGUAAUUUUAAUUAGCGUCGGAACUAAAACUUGGAUUCCAGGUAGGGUCUGUCGGGGAACUUUUUUUAAAAUCGAUAAUUAGAUUAUAAUUGAAAUGAGUGAUUUGUGUGACAUUGAUUGAUUAAUUCUUAAUUGUUAUCAUUUUCGAUAAAGUAUAUGAUAUCAUUGAUUUAUGUGGUCGAUGUUAUCGCUUUUCAUUAAAAACAUAUGGUCGAUAUUGAAAUGCGAGUAUUGAUACUCAAUUGAUAUGCAUAAUGCACUGAGGCAUUGUGAGAUUAGUGAGAAUAACGAUUAUGGAGAUGUGAGAAUGAGAUCGAGAAAAUAAAGAUACAUUUUGUGUAGUUGAGUUUCCUCAUAGGUUGUCCAAAUCUAGGGUAGCCCAUACAUGCACAAGUUUAGGAAAGUAUGCCCUUUGAUAGCAGACAUCGAUAAAACGAUCUUUUGGGUUUCAGGUUUGGAGAUCAUGAGUAUAACAAGAUGACUAACAAAAAAGGUACAAGUGGUGAUAUAUUACUGAUUGUUAAAUCAUAUAUUCGAGACAUCUGAGUCACUUCCGGUUGGUAAAAUAUACGGUAUGGGACGUGUAGGCUCACAUGUCUUUGAUGUAUGAACUCAUUAGCCAAUAAUUGAGGAAGACAUUUAUUAGCAUACAUGCAUUGGAUUGUUGUUAUAUUUGACAUUACUUGAUAACUUGAUAGUUUGGCAUAGUUAAAAUUUAAGAAUAACCUAAAAAGGUUUAGCCCUACUGAGCUUAAGCUUACCCCUAUAGAUUUUUAUUUAGGUACGUAUGAGAACACGUCUAGAAGAUUGACGUUUAGCUGACGUGUACGAGAGUAUAAAAGAGUUACGGAAGAUUAAAAAUGAGAUAUAUAUUUGCGAGUUUGUAAUUAUUUUUGUUAUUACAAUUUGUUUUGUUUUUAACAAUUUUUGAAAAAGUAUUUGAAUUUGUAUUAUUUUCUUUUACUUUUCCCGCUCACGUCUCAGAUUUGGUGUUGAGUGCUUAGAAAUCAUUGACACCGGAUCCGAAAUGUGACAGAAACAGUGCGACAACAAAUAAAUGUAGAUAUAGGUUAAAUUUUGCAUCUGUGCCUUCAUUUGGCUACCGUAUUUCUUUGGUAUAAUUCUGAAAAGCCAUGGUAAAGAUUCUCAAAUUUGUCAUCUUCUAUUGGUCGUUAGAUUUUUUAUUGUUGUUUACGACAAAGAGAACGUGUUCUUUAUGGCCAACUCGAUUUAUUUGCAUACAGGGCAUUUGCUAGUGUGCUACGUACAAGCCUUAGGCCUCAGCCAUAAUAUAAAGUCCUAAUCGAGAUAAUCUCCCCAAGCGAGGCCUUCAUGUAACAACAUGUGUCAUUAUGAUAUCUCUGUGUUAUCUGUUGACGUAUGAAUGAAGUAACGCAAUAUAAUUGCAUGUUUUUUUGAUACGAAUAUAAUUGCAUGUUGAACUGGUAACAUAUAUACAGUUUUUAAAAUAUGCUCCAGAAGAAGAGUACCAGCCAUCCAAAGGUGGAACCAAUUGAAGAUCUGCAGUUCUAAAAUGAAAGCAGAAGUUCCCAACAAGAUGCUGAUUAUUAUGAACUCCUCUGAUUCUUUACUACUAUGAUGAGCUUAGAGCAUCAUGACAUUGACACACCUAGUGACCGAAAGAGCAUUUCAAUGAAAUUCAGCCUCAUCAGCGGGCAGUGCCGCUGCAGUCUGGAGGCGAAUUUGCAAACCUUUGAAAUUUCAAAUUUGUUUGGAUGCAGUUUUUCAUGUGGGCUGGAUAGACAUUUGUUACUGGACUGAUUAAUCUAACCCGUUCUAAAAGCCUUGUUUAUUGGGCCAGGCUUGUCCGGUCCAGAAGCAAAAGUACUGUUGAUCCCCGCUCUUUUCCGCGAAACUGAUAAGUACUUUGGAUGGAAAAUGGGCCCUUUGCCGGUUCGGCCCACCUUUUGAAAUUUUAAAAUAUUGCAACCCCGCUCUUUUCUGCGAAAUUUAAAGUCUCUGUUUACAGCCCAAUUCCAGAUACUGGGAAAUUCCCUGAGGAAUGGGGAAUUAUUCUCGGAAAUACCAUAUUGGAGAGAUAUCUCUCUUGAAAAAAUGGCGUAGAUGCUUAAGCUGGGCUGGAGUUUCUUUCAUAAAUGCUGGGAGAAGAUGCAGAUUUACAUGAGUUGGUUUACCGCUUUCGAGAUUUGAGAUGAAUCAAAGCUUAUAGAACUGUCAUGCAUUUAAAUCCAUUCUCAUCCUUUGAGCUUGUGUAAUCAGAAUGCGACAACUGACUGAAUCAAGUAGCAUUAUUGCUCGCGUUCUUUUAGGAAACGUGAUAUCUCUGUUUUAAACAACAAAAUCCCAAAUCAAAAUAAAUGAGUUACAAACUCUGUCCAGCAAGAAAAAUAAAAUAUAUUCGAAUUAUUAGUUUAUUACAACAAAAGCGUGAAAUAAGAUGUCCAAAUGUUUAGUACGAUCAGGUGUAUCAAGAGUUAUCAAGUAUAGAUAUUGCAUACUCUGUCACGUUGGUGUGAUUCUGAUUCUGGGAUUGAUGCUCUGUAGCGCGCCUUUCAUUGCUGAUGUUCUGGUUCAGGGGCUGAAGCUCAAUUUCGCGCUUGAGAUUUCUGAUUCUCAUCUUUUCGGCUUCAUCAUUUCUAAUCCUCCUGCCGCUGUUCCAAUCACCCAGCGUCUGUCCGAAUUCUCCCAAUAAGGCUUUAAUACCAUGUUUUACUGCAUUAUUGCACAGUGUUAGCAGAGACUGGUGAUACUUACACACGAACAAUAAAAGGCAGAUGCUCCAGACGGAGAGUAUAAACAAUCCAAACUUUUCUGUAAGGAUGAUCAAUUCGAUAAUCGGAGGCAGGUAUCCAAGUAAGAGGAAAACAUAUUUCAUCAAAUCUUCCAAAUCUGCAUCAUCACCGCCACCAGCUGUUGGAAUCAUAUUUAUACAGAAAACGUGAGCCGAUAUCGAGAUAAUUAAUAGGUUCAUCAAGCGAGUGCCGUGGACUGUUUCAUAUGGAGAUCCCUUCUGUUGGAUGCAGAAGCCUAAGAAGCCGAUGAGAGCAUAUGUAUAUGUAGGAUUUGUAGGCGAUGCCACAGAAGCACCCUGCCCCGUUGUCUUGGUGCUACGACAAUCACAUCUAUAUCAAUCAAAUUAGUAGAAAGACUUGGUGUCAGUAAGGAACUAAGGGUAUGAUCGAUAAAAAAAAUAAAAUAAAAAAACUCUAACUAGAUGGGACUUCCCAUGGGCUUUAAUAUCAUUAAGAGAUGUAAAAUCAAUCAAAACUGUUUCGUUAUGAGAUAUCAAUAAGAGAAUACCAUAUAGAAUACCAUCGAAAAACAAAGAACAUGUUGAGAAAAAUGAUUGACAUCUCCCAAACCAGUCCAUGUUUCUUCACUAUUUGUCUAUCAAAUGUAACACUAGAAUCAUGAAAUAGCACUAGAAUACAGAUAUAUGAGAAUCAUGAAAUAACACUAGAAUCUACGAGUAUGAAAGAGAAAGAGAGAAUAGAUCGAUGAGAUUGUAAAAAUGUGUUUUGGCAGUAUUUAGUAUUGACACACUCACAGUACUCCACUCGAGCUAUCCACCAGAAACUUUUGAGUUUUUACUACAAAAUUUGAUCUAAAAUUACAGAAAAGAUAAAGUAAAGGAGCUAUAAGUACACUAUUUCGUAAACUUCAGCAGAAAUAUAAAGUAACUAGAAUAACAAAAACUGAAAUCCUUAUUAGUCUGUUCCCAGGUUGCCUGUAAGAGUAUCUGACCAGUUUAACUUGAUGAAAGAUUAACCAGACACUAAUGAAUAGAACUUCGACUACAGAAAAUUGAAGACAAUCGAAUUAAAGAUUAAUUUGUACUGACCUCUCUAGUCCUGCAUUAUCAUUUUGGUGGCCGUCUCUCUCCGUACUUGUGCUGUGGUUAUAUAUGGUCAUGAGAGGAUUAAUCAGAUUGGAAGUACAUCACUAUUCCAUACUUGAAUAGAAAAUUAUGUAAGAAAUACUGAAAUACAGAGCAGUUAAUUAAGGAGCAAAAAUCUUUCUUAAUCAUCCUAGACAUACAGAUAGACACAUGUCGGAAGUUCAUGUUGUCCUCUGUGAACUCCUAUGGAAGAGAGGCAGAAAGCUGGGUAGAAAUGGGAAUACAAUUAAUACUAAGCAUUUAAGCAAUCUGCAGUCCCCAACCCAAAUGAAACUCCGUUUUUGGUUUUAAGAGAACACUAAAAGCUCCAUUUUGGAUUUGUAGAACUUAAGUUUGAAUUUGUUGGAAUUAAUGCACAUUGAUCAACUCUAAAGAUGUCUAGAGAAAUCAAGGAAGCCCUAGAGUCGGCUAGAUUAAUCUAGAUCAUUGAGAAUAAUCAUGUACGUUAGCUAGCUUGUGUAGAAUCAUCUGGACUAAUCAUGCAUGUAAUUAACUAAGUUGCUAGCUAGAUGUACCUAGAUAUGUCCAACAUGUCGGUGGCACUAGCCAAGCCUACAAGGUCGGCUAAACAAGACUAUAAAUAUAUGUACCACUUGUAAUACAAGUAACAAACUUAUGAGUGAAUGAAAUUACUUUGAAGCAAGCUUGUAAACCAUCCUCCUGUAUUCCAUAUCCUCUAUACUACCAUCUCCUCUUAUUCUCCUAAACUAGUUUGUCUAAACUACUUUUCCUAGUUAACAUAUUCCUCCCAAGUCUAGCUCCUACAUACGAGAGUCCUAAAUACAUUGUCCUAACCCACUACACACAUUUCUAACAGUGGUUUCAGAGCCACUUCUAAAAACUAACAGAAUAGUCCAGCUUGUCAAGAACAUAUCUCCGAGUUCUCAUAGCACAAAACUUUACUCAGAUCAAUUUUGGGCAAUCUAAAAGUGAAUACUAUAAGGGACGACUGUAUAUGAGUACUAUGCAAUUAAUCCCCCCGUAAUCGUAUACAUGUAAAUUAAUCAAGAGAAACUAUUUGUUGUAGUAUAUAUAUGUUCUAAUUACAGCAGCCUCUGUGAUCCAGCAUGCCGUGAUCGAGGGGUUGAUUCAAGAAGACUAAGCCGUAGAAGUGGCCAAAGCCAUAGAUGAGGAGUGGAAGACGACGGCCGUCUGUGGAAGAGGAAGAGCAGGAGGACUUGAUUCAAGAGGAAGAACGGUUAGCAGCGCGGGUAGGGGAAGAAUUUUGCUAUAUGUGUAUGUUUUUCAAGAAUGAUGAAGCAGCAGAUAAGAGGAAGAGAGCGGCGACGCGGUGGAAAAUGACGCGCACGCGUGGAAAAAUAGGCUAGCUAGCAGUGCGGGGAAGAAUUUUACUCUCUGUUUGAAGAAUGAGAAGCCAUAGAAGAGGAAGAGAGCGCGCGGAGGCACAGUGGAAGAUCGACUCGCGCGCACGCACUUAGAAAGAGGAAGACUAGCUAAGACGCGUGGGGGCGUAGUGAAAGAGAGCGGCGGCGCAGUGCGAUAUGACACGCCGAGAAAGAGGAAGACUAGCAGGACGUACGUGAUUGAAGAAGAAGAUGUCGUUGAAGCCGACGUAGCGGUGUAUAGGACGGCGGAGUAGAAGAGAACGAGGGCGAAGCUGGAGAAGAAGAGGGCAGUACAAAGGCCGGAGAAGAAAAGGAAGACACGAAGAUGUGUUUCAAGAGACUAAGGUAUACGGUAUACCAGAGGAAGAGGAGGGCGCGGUUGAAGAUGACGUUCCGAUAAAAGUACGGCGGUGGAAUGAGGCGAGACGUACUCCAUCUCUAGGUAAGAGGUGGAGCACGUCAACACAUUAAAACAACAGUUUGAGAGUGACAAAUCCAGAAAAGUUAGAAAGAAAACUAGCAACUUACAGUAGAGGGCGUUGAAGAUCUUCGGCAAUGCUGCCCAUUAUAGCAGCUUUAGGGUUUUGGAGUUGAUUUGAAGUAAGAUUAAUGCAAGAGAUGCCUCUUAUUUAUAGAGGUCGUCAUGCCCGCAGGGAUCCCAGAAGUGUGACUCUGUCACCUGGGAACAUUGGUAUCAUCAAUGGCGAGGAGAACGGGGUUUUCCAUAUAUAUAUAUUUGGUUCCAACGUCAUUUGAGUUCCCCCGCACUUUAUUUUAUUUUUUUAUUUUUAGUUUUUUUUGGGUCAGAUAUAAGAUUUACUAAAGCCCAAAUGCAAAAGACUGGUUACAAGGGGAGCCAAGCCCACAACAUGUUCUUCGUUCAGCAUUAUACGAAGUGGGAAUCUUCAGUCAUAUAAGACAAAUCUAAAGAGAAGGUAUUGAGUAUUGACUGGGGGAAAAAGAAGAACUCACCCGUGAGAUGGAUGUAAGGAUUCACCCAUUGCGGAAGGUAGAAAUUGGGCAAUGAUGUGGAUCGCUUCAUCGGAUCUAUCUCUGAUCUCAACAUCUGAUGCAGGGACGUCUUCAGGAUUGAUUUUGCCGGUGUUUAGCUCUCAGAAGUGUCUGGCCCGCAAAUGAGAACGAAUAACAAAUUUUCCGUUCGGCCAGAAGCGCUGAACCCGUAAAGCGGAGGCUGAGUGUGCAAUGUAGGGUUGAUUUAUCUACCUUAAACGCUGCGCUUUCCUCAUAUCCACUGCCACAGCCACCUCUGAUCGAAUGCCAUUCCCUCCUCCGCCACGAUGUUUGGUUGCUUUCGUUGACUUGGAGUUUCCCAUUUGCUAGAUAGAGACAGUGGAUCUAGAUUCUGGAACUAACUUGUGAAUGCUUUUGGUCAACUGGCUAGUUGUCUUUAUUACUCUCUCAUUGUUGUCGUUAUUGGGUGGGCCAGGAUUUAUUGCAAAAACAUCGUACUUCUUGCCUUUCGGGCCCAAGUAGUAACUUCUGUUAAUAAAUUUGCUUAACUGACAAAAACCUUUCCGUCCAAAAGGAUGAACUCCCUUGCACGUACGCGCAUGGCGUCUUCCUUCUUCGUCCACUCAUAUGUGUGUGGCUAUGUGUUUCUUUAAGAAGCAAUCCAUGCAGAAAAACAAAAUGACCAAUCUGGAAAAGACUCCAACAGUUGAGAGAAGAGAAGUACUAGUCGUGGCGGAUAACUAACACGUGAAGCAACUGGAAUUGGUCUGUCUCACAUACUUAUCUAGAGUUAAUUUACUAUUUACAUAAGAAAGAAGAUAAGUUUAGAAAUCAACCAUCCGGAGUAAAUACCCUGAUUUAUCUAUUAUUUAUUUUUCUUUUCAAGUAAAUAAACGAACAUAAAAAAAAUGUGAAAACAUAAGAUGCUAAAGGUGUAGUGUGACGAAAGAUUAAACGGUCCAUGUCUUCGAGCUUGGUCAAGGGGCCAUUUCCGAUGAUCGGCUCCUGCAUUUUAGUGAAAGGUCAAUGGUGAUGACUGAGACACAAACCGAAUUGUGGCAGGACGACGCAACCUAAAAAAACUGACCGAAUUUAUAGUAAUGAAUUUAUGAUGGAGAUGCAUUUGUGUUAUUAAUUCGUGUCUUCGAGCUUGGUCGAGUCAUUCGAGUGGCCAUUUCCGGAUAUCAACUCCGGCAUUUUGUGAAAGGCAGUGGCGAUGACUGAGAGACAUACCGAGUUGUGGUAGGAUGGCACAACCGCACAACAUAAAAUGAUGAUUAUGAAUUUAUGAUAGAGACAAUGCAUUUGUGUUAUCGCUUUCGAGGGACAGGUGCUCACUCCUAGAAUGAGGCCUGCAUCUGUGGGCUAUAAUAAGAAUUCUGUGUGGAAAUGGGCCAUGCUGUUCAGCCCACCUUUGAAAUUUUAAAAUAUUGCUCCGCGCUCUUUUCCGCGAAAUGUUGAAGUCUCUGUUUUCAUCCCCAAUUCCAAAUACUGGGAAAUGAAUGGGGAAUCAUUCGGGGAAAGAUCGUGUUGGAUAUAAUAAGCCAAUUUGUUUCCAAUUUUUGGCAUAGAUCGUUUGGCCGGGGCUAGAGUUUGUUCUCUAUUAGUUCAUAGAAGCUAGGAGAAGAUGCAGAGGUGCAAGAGUUUGGGUUAGAGCUUUUCGGAUUUGAGAGGAAUCAAAGCCUAUAGAACUGUUAUGAAUUGAAUACUAACCUUUUCCCUUGAGCUAAUGUAAUCUUAAUGCGUCAAUUAACAGUCAAAUAGUAUUGCUCUCGCUCUUUUCCGCGAAAGUCAUGUCUCUGUUUUAAACCCCAAAUCCCAAAUCAAAACUGAUGUAUUACAAACUCAAUCCAGCCGAGUAAACUGGAAAAUUUGUUUUAGUUAUUAUCUUAUUACAACAAAAGCCUUCAUUUUUUAUUCAAUCAGGUGUAUCAAGUCUGUGGCAGCUAUAGAAAUUAAACAGGUACCUCAUUGGUGUGGUUAUGGUUCUGGGAUUCAUGCUCUGUCUCGCGCCCACCAUUCCUGAUGAUCAGGUCAUUCAAUUUCUGAGAGGCACGAACAACUGCUGCGAUUGCAUUACUUUCCAUUAAUCGGCGAUUCAAAUCAACGAGUUUCUGCUUCAAUUCUCCAAAGUCUCCUUUGAGAUGCUCAACUGCAUUUUGGAAGAGUGUUUUCAGAGAACGGUAAGACUUGCUCAUGAACCAUACAAGGCAGAUGCACCAGAAGAAGAGUAGAAUCAUUCCGAAAGUUGAAAUCAGGACGAGCAGCUCUAAAAUCAGGGACAGGCUUCCAAGUAAGAUGGUGAUUUGGAUCAUCAGAUCUUCCAAAUCUGUGUUAUUGCCAUCGGCUAGGAUUGCCAUCACAAUCAAAGAGAGGAUGUAAAUGCAUGUCACAAUAAUGAAAACGUUCAUCAGCUGAGAGCCGUGGACCGUCGCAUAUGGAGACACAUUGGGAAACUUGAGUUGCAGGCAGAAUCCCAAGACGCCGAUGAGAGAAAUUAUGCAUGUAUGUAAUUUCACUAUAGAGUAUCCCUGAAGACCAGCCUCCUUCCAUGUGUUGGUGCUAUGACAGAGAAAAGUAACUUAGUUAAAAGUUGUUUUAUAUCAAUGUCAAUCAAGUUAGUCACUGGGUGUGGAAGAAAAUGAUAAAAACAGGGGCUUCCUAAACAAUCGAAAGUGUUGGAUAUGGGAAAUGAGGAAGUGGAUGUGUAUAAUCUUUGUUACAAAUCGAACAGCAUAAAUGAGUAAUAGCAAAUUGAUACGAUUGGAAACAAAGAUAUAUGUCGAUAGAAAAGACUUUGGCGCCUCCCAAGAACCAGUCAAUAUCUGUUGAGGAAAACAGAGGCCUCUCAACUUUUUUUUUUUUUUUUAUCCGGCACAAGCCCUUCAAUGCUGGAUACUAGCAAAUAGCAAUCUAGCAUAAGCAAGACCAAGAGCUAGCUCAGCUCUAAACUAGCCCCGAACUAAUUCUAAGCUAAUUUAAUUAAUAUUGCACCGAUUAAAGCUACUUUUAUGAAAGAAUUGGAAUAAAUGCUUUGAUUGGAUUCCUCAGGAAUGUGAGAAUGCACAACAGCAUCAUAUGAGAUACACAGAGGAGCGAAGCGGAGGCCUCAGAGCAAUCUAGUGUAUCUCAUGAGAUUUAUAAUCCAAAGGCAGCAUCUAGAGCUGCAAUUUUGACAUAAAAGAGAUUUGCAUCAUAGCUGCACAUGCCUAUGAUCAAGCUGCUCUCUGCUUUAAACAACCUCUUAAAGAAAAUCAAUGAAAGUUCGUCUCUCUUACAAACAGAGAAUUCGUCGGCAGAAAUGCACAGUAGAAAUAAGGUAAAAUAAACUUUAGAUAGCAACUGCAAGAGAUCAAAGAGCGAAUGAAGCUAUUUUGAGCUAAGAUGCACAGAAACGAAACAUGUUUAUAUUACUAACACUUGUAAAUCUUGAGAGAUAACAGAAGCGCGGUCCUCCAUUCCACGGCCUUUUGCCUUAUAAGGGUGCGGAGCUCAAUCUCACUCUUCCUGAUUCAGCUUGAGAAAAUGAUGCAUUUCGAUCCCGAUAUGAAAGAGGAGAGACCAGUUAGGGCCGAUUAGCCGUCUUUAACCGGGCCGGUCACAUUUCGUCUCAUUAUGUCUUUGUUUUAUAUUGUGUUUUCUCUCUGUUUUCCUGAUCAAUUAUAGUUUGCUUGAGAGCUUGACUAUUACUUAUAAAACUAAUCACAAAAUCAUAUAUAUCAUCGAUGCAAUCAACUAACAAUUAUCGUAUAAAAAAAACUAACAAUUAUGAACGAUCUAAAUUCAGAUUUCUUUUGGUCAGAGACUCAGAGUGCGGGUGUUGUUGCUCAUCCAAGCCUCUUCAUAAUGUAUGUUCUGUAAAUAUUACUUCGGAAGUUCUUUUUAAAAAUAUCAGGUUCAUAAUGUUGUUACUUACCUUUCUAUUGAAAGUUUUCGUCUCCACUUCUCAAAAAUAUUACCUGCUACGUGACAACUUCUGAACUCAGAGGAAUCCAAUGAUUCCAAUCUGAUAUACAUGAAUUUUCUGCUGCUUGAAUUAAAUUUUACAAAACUGCAAAUACAUAGUUCAACCUGGCAGUUUAACCCAUUACCCGCUAACUGCCCGCUAACCGCCCGCUAAUAACCCGCUCAUUUCCGCCCCAUUACAGUUUUACACUAACGGGUUGACAACCCGCUAAGAACCCGCUAACUAACAGGCGGAAACAGGUUACCCAACAGAACCCGCCCAACCCGCUAAAGAAAAAAAAUAGAAAAUGACAUCCCACUACCAUAGAAGUUGUAAAACACAAAAAAACCAUCUUUCAACAGAUUUAAACAGAUAAGGACAUAUACUCAGGCCCACAAUGUAUAAUACCACACCCUGUCAGCAAUUUUUUAUGCAAAAUACCUAAAAAACCAUUCUUUUCUGAAAUAUCUACAAAACUGUCACUGGCUCAAAAUACCACUUCUCCACCAUUUUCAGAUCUGAUCUCUACACCGAUUUUUCUUCUUUUCUUCUUCUUCUUCUUCUUCUUCUUCUUCUUCUUCUUCUUCUUCUUCUUCUUCUUCUUCUUCUUCUCUUCUCUCUCUCUCUCUCUCUCUCUCUCUCUCUNNNNNNNNNNNNNNNNNNNNNNNNNNNNNNNNNNNNNNNNNNNNNNNNNNNNNNNNNNNNNNNNNNNNNNNNNNNNNNNNNNNNNNNNNNNNNNNNNNNNNNNNNNNNNNNNNNNNNNNNNNNNNNNNNNNNNNNNNNNNNNNNNNNNNNNNNNNNNNNNNNNNNNNNNNNNNNNNNNNNNNNNNNNNNNNNNNNNNNNNNNNNNNNNNNNNNNNNNNNNNNNNNNNNNNNNNNNNNNNNNNNNNNNNNNNNNNNNNNNNNNNNNNNNNNNNNNNNNNNNNNNNNNNNNNNNNNNNNNNNNNNNNNNNNNNNNNNNNNNNNNNNNNNNNNNNNNNNNNNNNNNNNNNNNNNNNNNNNNNNNNNNNNNNNNNNNNNNNNNNNNNNNNNNNNNNNNNNNNNNNNNNNNNNNNNNNNNNNNNNNNNNNNNNNNNNNNNNNNNNNNNNNNNNNNNNNNNNNNNNNNNNNNNNNNNNNNNNNNNNNNNNNNNNNNNNNNNNNNNNNNNNNNNNNNNNNNNNNNNNNNNNNNNNNNNNNNNNNNNNNNNNNNNNNNUCUCUUCUUCUUCUUCUUCUUCGCCGGUCAUCGCUCCGACCAAAUCGCCAGGAGGCGAGGAAGGGAGGAGGAACCGAAUAAUGAAAGGAUGAAUGUUGACUAAGGCUUCGCCGAAUCCAACCAGAUCUGAUUUGUUUAUUCUUCGAUCUCUACAACUUGGUUUACUCAAAGAUUCUUUGGAAUUAAAACCCAUAUCUUUUGAAUUUGACAGCAAAAAGUGAUCAUUUGUAGCUAAUUUGUGCUCAUGCUUCGUGCUGCUAUUGCAUUCUGCUAUGUGUUGCUGCUGCGUGUGAUGUUAGUGUGUGUUGUUGUGUGUUGCUGCUGUGUGUGUUGUUGUUGUUGUGUGUUGUUGUGUGCUGCUGCUGUGUGUGUUGUUGUUGUUGUGUGUUGUUGUGUGCUGCUACUGCGUGCUGUUGUGUGCUGCUACUGUGUGUGUUAUUGUGUGCUGCUACUGCAUGUGUUGUUGAUGUGUGUUGUUGUGUGCUGCUACUGUGUUUGUUAUUCUUGUGUGUUGUUGUAUACUGCUACUGCGUGCUGCUAAUGUGUGCUGCUAUGUGCUGCUACUGCGUGUGCUGUUGUGUGUUGUUGCUGCAUGUUGUUGUGUGUUGCUACUGCGUGUGUUGUUGCUAUGUGUUGUUGUGUGCUAUUGCUGCAUGUUGUUGUGUGUUGCUACUGCGUGUCUUGUUGCUAUGUGUUGUUGUGUGUUGCUACUGCGUGUGCUGUUAUGUGUUGCUACUGUGUGUUGUUAUGUGCUGCUAUUGCGUGUGUUGUUGUUGUGUGUUGUGUGCUGCUACUGCGUGUGCUGCCACUGCCUGUUGUUGUUGAUGUGUGUUGCUACUAUGUGUGUUGUUGAUGUGUGAUGCUACUGCGUGUGCUGCCACUGCCUAUUGUUGUUGAUGUGUGUUGCUAUUGUGUGUGUUGUUGAUGUGUGCUACUACUGCGUGUGUUGUUGUUAUGUGUUAUUACUGCAAGUUGUUGAUUCAUGUUGCUGCUACUGCGUGCUGCUACUACACUAAAUUAUUGAAAAAUCUGCUACUGUAUUCCAUUUACUGAAAAAUCUCAAAAGGAGAGACUUUUCUCUUCUAAAAGUAUAUUUAAUUAGUGUAGAGUUAGUUUAGUAAAUUAAAUCAUGACACAUGGCAUGUAGAGAAAAGAUUGUCCUUAAUUGUUAAAAACUGUCCUUAUUUGUUUAACAACAACACAAGUAGAUUUAUUUGUGUUUCAAAUCCUUUUAGAGGAUGUAUAUGUGAUUUGCUUAAAAAAAAAAGGAAGAAAAAAAUUAAAGCAGUUAGCAGUCUCUCUCUCUCUCUUCAGAUCGAAACAGUCACUCUCCCUCAAACCAGUCUCUCUCGAUCUCUCCCUCUUCAUAAACAAACCGUGCCAGUCUCUCUCCCUCUUCAGAUCAAAAUUCAGGUUGGUUUUUGUUUCCUUACUCUUCUAGAUUUAUUGUUUUUGGUCAAAAUUUGAACUGGGUCUGUUCUGUGGUUUCUUAAUUUUGUGCAUUUGGUGUUUGUGAGUUUGCUGUGUUUGGUUUGCUUUCUGGGCAAUAUCAAUUCAUGGAUUCUAGAUGAAUGAAGAUUGAUUUCAAUCAUCGUUUUGUGGUUCUUGUUUAGGAAAACGAGAGGAUCAGAGUAGUACUAAGAAAAUGGUGAGAAAAUAGGAAUGUGUUUUUGAUAAGGAAGCAUGUAAGUUUGCAGAGGUAUAUAUAGAGAAUAAAAACUGUGUGUGUGAUACUCUGGGUAGAUACAGAGAUUACUAUACGUAGAUAUUAGUUGGGCAGGUUAGGCUAGCUCAUAUUCAUGGUUUUCAUUCUUCAUUCAUAUGUACCCUGUAAAGUAAGAUUAUUUGCAAAUUGUGUGUAUUAUUUGCAAACUGUGGUGAGGAUGGAUGAUGAUGAUGAUAAUGUAUUAAUUGUUUUGUUUUCAGAGUAGUGGUGAGAAUGGAUGAUGAUGAUAUAUCAAUAUCAUUGGAACCAGAGGAACCCGCUGUGGUAGAAAGAGGAACAACAGAGGUUUCUGCUCAUAAGCGAAAGAAGACUUCUCGUUGUUGGUUGUCUUUUAAACAGUUACCUGUGAGUGAUGAUCAGAUAGAACGUGCAAAAUGCACUAAGUGUGGAGCCGUGUAUAAGUGUGACAAAGCGACAGGAACAGGUAGCCUUAUACGCCAUCAUGACCUAUGUUAUAAUAAGGAUAUUGUAGUGUCACCUCACUCUUCUACACGUUCUUCAAAGUUUUCGCAUGAAAAAUUUCGUGAAUUGAUUGUUGAGGCUAUUAUACGACAUGAUUUGCCAUUUCGUUUUGUGGAGUAUGAGGGGAUUAGAGCUGUGUUUCAUUAUAUUUCUCCUAUUCUUAAGUUGCCUUGUAGAAACACCGUUAAGUCACAUAUUACAAAGCUCUUUGAUAGUGAAAAGUUGAAGCUUCGUAGUAUUUUAAGUUGUGUUCAAGGGAGGAUUUGUUUAACUUCUGAUUUAUGGAGUUCUCAAACAACUGAUGGUUAUUUGACACUCACGGCACGUUGGAUUGAUUUGGAAUGGAAAUUGCAUAAGAAGAUAAUUAGCUUUUGUCGUUUUCCUCCACCACAUAAUGGUAUUGCUUUGGCUGAAAAGAUUAAUUCUUUGAUAUGUGAGUGGGAAAUUGAGAAGAAACUGUUUUCGAUUACAUUGGAUAAUGCAUCUGCUAAUGAUUCCUUUGUUGAGAAGUUGAGAACUCAGUUGAAUUUUAGAGGGCUACUCUUGUUAAAUGGGAAAUUUUUUCAUGUUAGAUGUUGUGCACAUAUCUUGAACUUAAUUGUUCAAGAUGGGUUGAAAUCUAUUGAUCAGUCAGUGAUAAAGAUUAUUGAGUGUCUCAAGUACAUCAAGGGUUCAAUGGCAAGAAAGGAAAGAUUUUUGGGCUGUAUUGAUCAAGUUGGAAUGGGAGGUAGUAGGAGAGCUUUGUGAUAAGACGUGCCUACUAGAUGGAACUCCACCUAUCUUAUGCUAGAUAGUGCACUCUUCUAUCGCCGUGCUUUGAUCAACUUUGCAUUAUGUGACACAGAUUUUAAGUGUUGUCCUUCUUUUGAUGAAUGGAUCAAGGUUGAGCAGACCUCGAGGUUCCUAGGAUAUUUUUAUGAUGUCACUUGCCUAUUUUCUGGAACCAAGUAUCCAACUUCGAACUUGUUUUUUCCCAAGGUAUUUAUGAUUCAGCACAACAUUCAACAAGCCAUGAAAGACAAAGAUGCAUUCAUGAGACAAAUGGCGAAUGACAUGAACCUCAAGUUUGAGAAAUAUUGGUCUGAUUAUAGCUUGGUCCUUGGUAUAGCCGUUGUGUUAGAUCCUCGACACAAGAUGGAUUUUGUAGAGUGGUCCUAUAAAAGUCUCUACGGUGCAGAAGGCUUUCAAGGACACUUUGUCAUCUCUCUUCAAUGUCUACGUGGAUAAGUGGUCACCCGACAAUGCAAGUGGAUUUAUGGGUGAGAGUUGUUCUCAAACAGAAGGUGAAGACGCCUUUUUUCAGGUACACUAAUUUUGUUCUUCAAUUGGUUAUGCAUUUGUGAUCAUAUGAUUUGUUUUCAUUUGAGUAUCAUUUUAGUUCUUUGGAAUGAAAAGCUAUUUGGAAUUCUUGAACAUAAGAAAUUGAACAUGAGGAGUGUGUAUUCUCAACUGUUAAAUGAAGCUUAGUUGUGGUAUUAUGGAAAUGUUAUUAAAAGGUGUUGAUUGAUGUGGAUUUGCUACUAUCUGAUAGGUUGUGUUUAAUAGUUUAUUUCUGUUUUAUUUGUAUUUUUUGUAGGAUUUUGAUGCUACUUACACAAGUGGUUCAAGUUUGAGUGUUAAAAGUGAGCUUCAGAAGUAUCUUGAUGAAGAAAGAUUGGAUAGAAAAAAGAAAGAGUUUGAUAUUCUUUCUUGGUGGAAAAUGGAACAAUUACGUUAUCCAGUACUUGGUCACUUGGCUCGUGACGUGCUUACAAUUCCUAUUUCUACUGUAGCAUCCGAGUCUGCAUUCAGUAUUGCUGGUAGAGUAUUGGACCAAAAUCGAAGCUCACUAUUACCUGAAACUGUUCAAGCAUUGUUAUGUUGUCGUGAUUGGUUAUUCGGUAAGAAAGGUAAAUUGUCUAUCACUUAAUCACUGUAUUAAUUUCAUAUUUUUUCAGCUUGUGAGUUUCGUUUAAUUUUAAAUUUUUUAAUAUAUAUUUCAGAUCAAGAUCACACUGAUUGGGAGCAACUUAGUGAAAACGUGCUAGACUUGACAUUGGACAGAUGAAGUAGAUCAUAGAGAAACAAGGUGGGAGUACUACUGGGUGUUAAUAGUAUAGCUGGAAAUUGGUUUCUGAGUUGGCCCCUCUUAUAUUGUGGCUCUAGUAACUUCCUGAACUCAAGAGUUUUCUUUAGCUUUAACCCAGAUUUUGUGGCUAAUUCUUGUCUGGCUUUCCUUGUGGGGAAGGCUUGCAAUGAGUGUGGUAUUUGUGUAGGUGUUGUUGGUUUAUUCACAUGCACUGUUUACACUCUUUUGUCACUAUAAGAUGUCUCAAAUAUAUACGAGUUGUUCAAAUGGUUCAAAUAUAUAGGAUGUCAUUUUAUAUGUGAUGUCAUUUGUAUGCAUCAAAUAUAUACGAGUUGUUCGGCAUCAAUUUUACAAUUGGAUAUUAAUGUUAUAAACUUAUAAUUGCAUAGAGGAGAAGUAAUAUUGUUAAAGCUGCAUUACCAAUGGGUAAAAAUAAAAAGAAAUAUUAGAAGAGAAGAAAAAAAAAUAUGGGUAUUUGAUUUUAUUAGAAAAAGAAAUAUUAAAAANNNNNNNNNNNNNNNNNNNNAAAAAAAAAAAACCUUAGCGGGUUCCAACGGGUAACCCGCGAACCCAACGGGUUCAACCCACUAUAACCCGUUAAGCUAACUGGUUGUAGCGGGUUCAACCGCCACAGCCCGCCCGCUAACCGCCCAACCCGCCCAUUUGCCAGGUUGACACAUAGUAACAGUGUAUCCAACUUGGGGACACAACCAAGUAUUACAUAUCAGAAACCUCCAACGUGGAAGAAUUGUACAACAUUAUGCUCCACCGUUGUGUUUUCAUCAAGAGCUGAAACUGCACUUUCACGUAGUGUUUUCGAGUAUUGGAAUGACUUGAUCGCAAGGGUAACGAAACAGAUGCUCCAGAAGAAGAUUGUAACCCAUCCGAAAGGCGGAAACAAGAUGAGCAACUCCAAAAUGGAAGCAAGAGUUCCAAGCAAGAGGCUAAUAUUAUUCAUGACUUCAACGAAGUCUGUGUUACUGUGAUUGGUUUGGAGAAUCAUGACACCAAAUGAUCCACAGUAGCGAAUAUGUCAAUGAUAAAUAGCCUCAUGAGUACAGUGUUUCUGUAGUCCAGACUCCAGCACAAAUGGAGACGUAGUUGUGAACUUCAGUUGGAGGCAAAGGCAAAGGCCUAGAAUGGUGAUGAGAGAGAAAAUGCAUUUGUGCAGUGCCAUUAUAGAACUUUUCCAAAUUGCAAACUCCUCCACUUCGUUGUUGUGUUGGCCAUUCCCAAUGAUCGAUCAGCUCCUGCAUUCUGUGGAAGCCAUGAAGCCCUCGUGUGGUGAUGAUAAUGCAUUUGUUCAACUGCAACCCCCCUAUGAAACUGUUUUGAGAAGUACCCUCCUCUGCUGUGCUGUUUGUUGGAAAUUAUGUAAUAAUAUCUAAUAUGAAUGAAAAUAAAAUUACUCAUGACUUUUCCAUUUGAAAUGGUGUGUCUUUUUCAAUAGGUGUCUUUAGGAAUAAGUGUGUCUCUUCAAGGAGGUAAGUGAACGGACAUGUUGGUUCACUUGGGGUUCUAUAUAAACCCAUACUCAUUUCUCCUUAAAGAUUAGAUUGAGAAUCCUCAAUUCUUCUAUAUGUCUUGUUCGUGUCAAGAGAGUAUAAGAUACAAUUUAUGGUUCGCUAGAUUCCAAAAUUGCGGUGCUUCUAUUUUGGAUCAUCGAUUGUUGUAUUCUACAAGGCGGACGCCCAUCGAACUACAAGCACAAGGGUAGGGGCGAAAUCUGUCUUUAGUCAAGUGCAUUUAUGCAUGCCUCAAUCGGAAUAUCAAGUCAGUUCUUUCUUUCCUUGUACUACUUUUAUAGGAUUCUUACACUAUUUUACUCCUAUAUUAGGAUUGAUUCACUACUUUCAAUCCUAAACGAAUAUUGUUAUGUUUUUUAUAUUCUUUAUUGAAAUUUCUAUCAUAUUUAUAAUCAAAUAUAUGAUUGUUCCCAACACUGUUGAAUUCUAAGUUUAGACUCAACCACAGACAUUAACAAGAGAAUUGUGUUGUAAAAACAAAGUUAGCCCUAUCCACAAAUUGACAGUAGGAAUGUUUAGUCGGUGCUGUGACUUUAUAUCGAAGGCUUUCAUCAGUGCUUACUGCUUAGUACUGUUUUGAAGUAGGAGGAUAACUGUAUUUGUUUCCUGCCUAAUAUAAAGCGGCAAAGACAACUGGAUCAAAUUUCACACCAUUGCAAAUAGAUAACACAACAUGUUCAAUGGGACUAGUAUAUAUAUAUAUAUAUAUAUAUAUAUAUAUAUAUAUAUAUAUACGGGGACUAAUAUAACGAGGCCCUAAUCGACACUAUGCCACACUCUGCUCCGUUUGGUUCCCUGCAACAUUCUGCUCCUUCAUUUCGUUUUCGUCAACACUACGUUCUCCUGCAUCUGUCUCAGCCUCGUUUUGAUUUUGGCCUUUAAACAGCUUGUUCACUUGGGUAAACACAUAAACAAGUGCCUUCCUAUACGAUUCCUUGGUCAAAAUGUGUCUAACAAAGUAAAUGAUCCACAAACAGAGGGUGAACCACCCAAAAGCUCGAACGAGCAUAAACAAUAAUAAUAUUGAUGCGAGGGAUCCAAACAAGAGGCUGAUGUCGUUCAUGAAUUGAGCCAAAUCUGAAUUGAGAGAUUGGAAUGACUUGAGAGUUGCAAGUGAUGCGAUGUAAAUCAACAAAACAGCAAUAAACGUCAGCAUGGUGACAUGAUCUGUGACAAAUGCAGAUUUACUCCCGGAUGCCUGCUUCACUUCAAGGAGCAAUCCCAGCAGGGCCAUGAGAGAGAUGAUUAAAUGGUGCAAUACGGCUUGAUGAUAGCCGUGAACCCCCUCCCUGAAAGAGAUUUUUUUUCUGCUAUUGAGUUGUAUAUGCCAAUAAAAAAGGAUUGCUCAAAAUAAAGGAAAACGAACAAUUAUAAACUGGCAAUAAAUGCCGGGAAUUGAAAAUUAUUGUUGACGACUAAAUUUCAAUCGCAGAAAUGUCUGAGCUCGAGCGCCACUGGCUAACAUCUGCUAAAUUUUAAAGGGUUGUAAUUUCACCCGUCGAAACCGAUUGCUGCUUGCCCAGAACAGCAAAGUCUGACUCUGAGGUUAGCCAUCCGGCCGGCGGCUUCCUCCCUUGCUACUAGCUUUGAGCUCAACACCAAGGGGGGUUGUCUAGGCCGAGGCGAUGCAGAAUCAGAAUCUGAAACAUGGAAAAUUCCUACUUCCAUUACUACGACGCUAGAAAUGUUAGUUCUUAGCUGAUUGCUCGAGUUUGAGUUUGCCGACCAUAGAAAAUACUUUAUUUGAACUCUCAAAAUAAACAACAGUUUCAAAAAAAUUGUUUCUACAUGAUCAAGAAAAAAAAAAAAAAAAAAAAGGUUUAAAUACUAACUCGUUCAAAUCCCGAAGAUUAUGAGCAAAGUCGAUAUCCAUCCCCGCGGCUUUGUGCAGUGCUCUGUACUUUGAAUCUUCCCAGCAAACUUUCACCACGCUCUAAAAAAGAAAGAAACUUGGAGAAUUCUGUCCUGCUACCACGUGAAAGCGCUGGAGAUGUAUGUGGUAGCUUUAACUUAACGCUUAUAAACAAAGAAGUUUCUAAAUCGCCUGAAGUUUACGCUUAGUAGAGAACGUAGAAACUUCUUUGUUUAGGCGACGUCUCCUGUGACGACGUGACGCAGUGAAAUUAGGAUUUUUUACCUCUGAUUUUCUGAUGCUGUUCUUCGAUUCCAAGUGGAUUGCUUCAUGGGAUCUAUGCCUCAACUCAGUAGCGUCUUCAGCAUCCAUUUUUGCCGCUGUUUAGCUCUGGAAAAUGUGUCCGGCAAUUGAGAACGAACAACAUUCUUUCAUCCGAUCCACACGAGCUGAACCCGUCAACCGGAGGCCGAGUCAGAGUUAGCGCGGAAGAGUGGGCCAGUUGAUUGAUCUAAUCCAAACGCUGCGCUUUCCUCAGAUCUCGACCAACACUGGCUCCUCCGCUACGACGAUGCUUGCAUAUUUUCGUUGACUUCAGUUGCCCGUAUACGAGAUUGAGAGAUUUCAGACACUGGAUUUAGAUUCUAGAUUCUACUGCUAGUAGUCUAUACUUUAUGAAACUCCUUUUUUCACUAAAUCGUUACCGACUGGGCCUGGGCUGGACUCGUACCGACUCGACAUAAAUUGCAUGGACUGGUAUUUUGUUAACGGGCCAAUCGACACGGCCCGUUUGUCAUAUUGAGCCCGUGUGGCCGGUCUAAUUCGCAAAAAACAAUAGUGAAUUUCCCGCUCUUUUCCGCGAAAUUCAUCUCUUUGUUUAAGCAACCCAAUACCCAAACUUAAAAAAUAUAAAGAAGUUAAGAAGAGAUCUUUGCAACUUGGUCUAAUUAUGUACAGAAUCACAAACUGAAAACGAAAGCAUGAAAUAGAAAUUACAGUGUUACACAGGCAGCUCCUUGCUGAGGUUCUUGGUUUCAUCAUGCGCUGUCGAAUAGCGGCUCCUCUUGAUCAGAACCUUCAAUUUCUCAUAAGCACGACCGAGUCCAGCAACUGAUCCCAUCAAGCGGCCAUUUAGUGAGAUCAGUUUCACUUGGAAUUCACCCAAAGCUAGAAUAAGAGCUGCAACAGUCCUUUUGCAUAGUGUUUUAGACAGUUGGUACGAAUCAAUUGCUGUGAUCAUAAGAUAAAUGCUCCAGAAGAAGAGUGUGAGCCAUCCGAAAGGCGGAAACAAGAUGAGCAACUCUAAAAUAGAAGCAAGAGUUCCAAGCAAGAUGCUGAUCUUAUUCAUGAAUUCACCGAAGUCUCUAUUACUCUGAUUGAUUUGGAGUAUCAUGACACCUAACAAUCCGAAGUAAAGAGAUAUGUCGGUAAUAAAUAGCUUUAUCAGUAUAGUUCUGCGACAGUCAGUCACAAGUGCAGACGCAUUUGCGAACUCCAGUUGGAGGCAAAGCCCUAAAAUGGUGAUGAGAGAGACUAUGCACUUGUGCAGUGCCAGAACAGAACUUCUCCAAAUUGCAAACUCUUCCAUUAUGUUGCUGUGAUGAUCACAAAUUCAUAAUUCAUGAAUCAUGAAAGUUUUAAUUGGAGUAGAAUGUCAGUGAAAUUAUAUGUAUAUCAGUAUAUGAUGUCACCAAGAAAAGUAUUAAUUAUCAAAUAUUGGUGAUCCAUAAGUCGUUGAAAAAAUAUUUAAAAAUAUAUAAUCAGCAGGGGAUAAACUACAGGGUCCCCUGUUCUAAUUUUAUCAAUAUAGCUCUCUGUUUUCUUAAUCAACAGAUUACCCCUUAAUAAUUGGAUCUAAGAAGAGCUCUGAAAAUAAAAGAUCUAUGAAUGAUGCUAACAAAUGAAUAUUCUAUUAACAACUCGUGCCAGAUGCCAUAGUUCAUAUCACAGAAUGUAGAAUCUUUGACGAAGUCCGUUUGUGAAGAACAAAUAAGGGUACCUGGAUAUUUGAAGACACUAGGUUACAAAAUACUAUUUCAUCGAAAAACUUUGUUAAUUGUUUAGUUUUUUAAGGAGAUGGGUGUGUGUAUCAAUUUAUAUGAGUAAAGGAAAUUGUAUUGCUAGAAACAAUGGUCAGAAUGAACGUUACAUCAUAUGUCGGGCUUUAUACAAUCUGUUGAUAUAGAUCUACAAGCAGUACUAUAUGACUGGUACUCAUUGAAAAUAAGCUCGAGAAAAGCUUCGAGCAUAGGAAACAAAACCAUAACAUCUGAGUUCCAGACAAGAAUAAACUAGCUAGCUGCCUAAUUUCCAAACAUAGAGGUUCUGCUUUUCCAACAGAACAGAGACUUUUAAAUUACAAGCUCUUUAAUGUGAUCCUGGGGAGGAAAGGAAGAACUAGCAAGAAUUGUAUAUAUAAUGGCAAACGGAAGACAAGCAUAACAAAUAUGAUCCUGAGGACCAACCGAGCAACCAGGAAAAAGAGAAAACUAAGUAGAUCUGCAUCCAGAGACAAGUAACAAAUUCGAACCAAGGAACACCAAAACCAAAGCCAAAAGUAUAUAGUAGUGAGAGGAUAUACUAACACUGGUAAACGUGGAGACUUGAGAGUUUAAGUCUUUAAGUGCUCUCCUCCAUUAAUUCCACAUACAGCUUUCUGAGAGCUCUUACUCUCGGAGAAGACAAUAUGUAGUGGAGACUAGGCAAAAAAAAAAAAAAAACCGACGUCGGUUUGAUCUGAUAAAAAAUAUCAGACGUCUUAUUCUGCUUUUGCGUUUUCGUUUUAGUCUAGUUGCAUCCGACAUUCACCAGACGAAAAUGACGAAAAUGUCCAGACGAAUUGAAGAUUUCUGUUGAAUCGAAAUCAAGGAUCAUAGGAGAGGUGCGUAAUUUUGCUUAAUCUUCCGAGUCGUCGCGACUCCCAUCCUGCAACUGCGUUGAGAUGAUACUGGUGGACGUCCUUUUCUGCAGUUCUUAAUUUGUUGAUAGCAGACGUCUUUCCUAUUUUUUAGUAGUAGAAAACUAGAAAUGUAGAAUCAAGGAUACUAAUCUGACCAGGAAAAAAGAAUCAAGGAAACUAAAAACGCGGAAUCCAUCAUCAAUUUUCAUACAUGUUAAACGUCACUGACUCUCUGUCAUGGCACGCAACACAUUUCAGUCUCCUACUCUUUUGUGUACCCAGAAACAAGGAUAUACUGUAGUCAGACCAGUGUAAAAAUCAUUAGAUUAUUCUUUAUCAGUUAAUUUUGCAUGAUGUCAAAGGCGUAGUUUACUACAUCACUGAGCAUGUAUAUGGGCCAUGCUGGUCCGGCCCACUCACAAAAUUUUAGAAUAAUGCUCCCGCUCUUCUCUACCCAAUUUUUAGUCUCUGUUUUCUACCCCAAAUUAAAUUCGAAAUUCAGUGCCAAACAGUCGUGUAAAACACUAAAACCCCUAUAUAGAAUGUAACCAAAAAAAAAAAAACCUAUAUAGAACUGUUCUAAAUCAAAAAUUACCGUCUUCCCUUGAGCUAUUAUAAUUAAUCAUAAUGAUAAUGCGACAGUUAACUGAAUCGAAUAGUAUUGUUGAAAGUGAUGCCUCUCAGUCUCUGUUUUAAACCCCAAACAAAUCCCAAAUCAAAAUUACUGUAUUACAAACUCAACAGCUUAAUUAAAGAUGAAAACUUUUCACUGCUAGAAAAAUCUCUAGUAGCUACCCCCUUUGGAUACACUUUUCUAACUAUAUCAUUAAAGUAGAGCAAAUGACAUCCUUUUAUAUUUUCAGUAUUUUUUACUCUAUGGAUACUGAUAACCGUAACAAAAGAAAAAUAAUAAUGAAAAAUAAUAAUUUAAUAUAGGAGAGAGAAUAAACAUAAAUAUAAAAUUUAAAAUAAAAUUGAAAAAUUGAGAUACCAAAGUUCAAAGCGUGGCUUUUAGUUAGUGGAGACUGUAAUAGAGAAUACCUUUUUCAAAUUCGUGGAUGCAUUGUUACAUUUCUAAUUAAGUAACAUGUACGUCAUAUGAUAUGAUAGACAAACCCAUAAAACAAAAGAUACAGAAAAAAAAAAUUAUGUACUAUAUGAACCCUUUUCUAGUAGUAUUUCCUUAGGAUUUCUUUAUUACAAGAGAUGCUUUCAAUGACGAAUAAGAUGUACGUAUCAAGAGUAGGUGGCAGCUAUAGAGAUUCAACAGGUACCUUCACUGGUGUGAUUCUGAUUCUGGGCUUCAUGCUCUGUCACCCGCCCCUCAUCCCUGGUGAUCAUGUCCUUCAAUUUUUGAGAGGCACGAGCGACUGCUGCGAUUGCAUUACUGUCCAUUAAUCGGCGAUUCAAAUCAACCAGCUUCCGUUUCAAUUCUCCAACGGAACGAACAAGAUGUUCAACUGCGUUUUGGAAGAGUGUUUUCAGAGACUGGUAAGAGUUACUGACGAACCAUAAAAGGCAGAUGCACCAUAAGAAGAGUAGGAUCAUUCCGAAAGGUGAAAGCAGGACAAGCAACUCCAAAUUCAGUGACAGACUUCCAAGAAAGAGGCUAAGUUUGUUCAUCGGAUCUUCCAAAUCUGCGUUAUCGCGUCGACUUGCUUGGAUUGUCAUUAGAAUCAAAGAGAGGAUGUAAAUGCAUGUCACAAUAAUGAAUACGUUCAUCAGCUGAGAGCCGUAGAUCGUCGCAUAUGGAGACACAUUGGGGAACUUGAGUUGCAAGCAGAAUCCCAAGACGCCGAUGAGAGAAAUUAUGCAUGUAUGCAAUUUCACUGCAGAGUAUUCUUUAGUUUGAAUCAACCCUUGUGAAGGUGAAGAGAUAACCACAGUGGUGUCUGCCAUUCCACAGCUUUUCAUAGCAUAAUUAAACUUUGGCCUUAAUUUAAACUUCGAGAGUGUAAACUGAAAGUUUGGCGCAAUGGCGACGUACGCGAUGAGAACAAAGCUAUACAUGACAAAGCGCACUGUUUGCCAAAGGAGGGACUGCCCUGUAUUGGUAUAUGCUUCCUAUAUUUCUACUGGCAUCUUGCCAAAGGAGUAACUGCCCUGUAAUGAAGGGACUGCCCUGUAUUGAAUUUUUUUUGUUUUUCUACUGGGAUACCAGAUUCCUUCUUUUUUGUUUCACCACUAACCUCCACAUUGAACCAGAGAUCGUUUCUGAGACCCACAUAGACUAAAUAUUUAAACUAUUUCGCAUCUGUGUCUUCAUUUGGCUACCGUAUUUCUUUGGUAUAAUUCUGAUUAGCCAUGGUAAAGAUUCUCACGUUUGUUUUCUCUUGGUCUUUAGAUCUGUGUUUACGACGAAGAGAACGUGUUUGUUUAUGGCCUAACUCUAUUUGCAUACAGAGCAUUCAGCAUUGAACAACAUGUGCCAUUAUGAAUGUUUGCGAGGCGUACAUUAUUACUAAUAUAGAGGGUGAAAUGUUAUUCUGUCUUAACUGCAGAAUGAUAUAUUCUUCUUGAUACAAGACACACAAUAUUCUGCCCUUAUGAUGAUUUACAUGCAUAGUUAAUCAGUACGAAUCUAAAGCUCAAGCCUACUUGCAAUUUCCAGGAAGAAACAGUUGUUUAUCAUAUUGUCGAGGAAAACAAUAAGAGUAAAUGACACUUUAGUACUAAUUUUAAAGGUUUAUUGCCCAUUCCAAUGAAAAUCUCUUUACCAACUCCAUUCCAAUGAAUUCUAAUAAAAGGACGUCAAUACUCUCACCCUAAUUUAACUCUCUUUCUCCUCUUUUUUCCUGAUCAUUAACUCUCUCUCUCUCUCUCUCUCUCUCUCUCUCUCUCUCUCUCUCUCUCNCUCUCUCUCUCUCUCUCNCUCUCUCUCNCUNUCUCUUCUCUCUCUCUCUCUCUCUCUCUCUCUCUCUCUCUCUCUCUCUCUCUCUCUCUCUCUCUCUCGGAAUCCAGAUCGGAUCUGAGGACCGGACUCACCCCACAUGCGGCGUUCGUCAACCUCGGUGGCGAUCGGACAUGGACGUCGGAAGCAGCUCAUUCAUGGAGGAGUUGGUCUUGUUUACUGUGUUGUUGUUCUCCGGCCUGAGCAGUUGCUCGGCCGAUACGAGCUCGGCACCAAGCACAUUGACCCACUCGUAGUUGCGGGUGUUGCCACGCCAGGCGACGUAGAUUUCGCGGUGGCCGAUGGACUUGCUGUACUGGUCAGUGGUGACGACGACGUAGCCGAUCCAGUUAGACUCGCGGUCCCACGACUCGUGGGACAUGGAGUGGAGGAGGAAGGCCUCUGGGACGCUGACUUGUGCGGUGGUGUAGAGGAAAAAGGCGAUCUCGUAGUUGGCGGCGUCUUGGAGCAUGACUUUGUCGAAGAAGUUGGCGUGGCCGUAGCGGCUGGACCCGGCGUACUUGGAGUUGGCGUCGUUGUUGAAGGCGUCGUAGGUGCCCUGGCAGAAGUCGCCGCAGCGGAGGAUCAGGGUUCGGAGGUGGACGUCCAGCGGGUCCAGGAGGCCGGCCCAGUUGUUUUCUCCGAGGAGAGCUGACCAUGCUAGACCUGCUACUGGUUCAGUAGUGGAAUCAGGGGUCUGGGUCUGGGUGGUGGUAUGAGUAUCCAUGGCUGGUUUUAGUUCAGAGAGUGAAAGUUGGUUUUGGUAGUAAACUUCAUUUUUUCGCAUCUACGUUGAUUUUUCUCUUUUUCAAUGUGAAUUAUGGCAUUGAAGCUACUGUUUUGUAAGUUUACUACCCCCAGUAAAAGUUUAGUAGGGGUAGUAAACUUUAGUUUUUACGAAUCUAAAUUGGUUCUUCCUCUGUUUUAGUGUGUAUUAUGGUCUUGAAAAUACUGUUUUGCAAGUUUACUACCCCCAGUAAAAGUUUACUAGGGGUAGUAAAUUUUAUUUUUUCGCAUCUAAGUUGAUUUUUCUCCGUUUUAAUGUGUACUUAUAGCCUUGGAGAUAUUAUUUUGCAAGUUUACUACCCCCAGUAAAAGUUUACUAGGGGUAGUAAACUUCAUUUUUUCGCAUCUAAGUUGAUUUUCUCCUUUUCAAUAUGAAUUAUGACAUUGGAGCUACUGUUUUAUAAGUUUACUACCUCCAGUAAAAGUUUACUAGGGGUAGUAAACUUUAGUUUUUCGAAUCUAAAUUGUUCUUUCUCUGUUUUAGUGUGUAUUAUGGUCUUGAAAAUACUGUUUUGCAAGUUUACUACCCCCAGUAAAAGUUUACUAGGGGUAGUAAAUUUUAUUUUUUCGCUUCUAAGUUGAUUUUUCUCCGUUUUAAUGUGUACUUGUAGCUUUGGAGAUAUUAUUUUGCAAGAUUACUACCCCCAGUAAGAUGUUUACUAGGGGUGGUAAACUUUAUUUUUUUGCAUAUAUGUUGAUUUUUUCUCUCUUUUAAGGUAUAUAAUGGUCAUAGGAAAAUUGUAUUGCAAGUUUACUACCCCCAGCAGAAGUUUAUUAGGGGUACUAAACUUUAUUUUUCUGCAUCUAAGUUGAUUUUUCAUUGUUUUAAGGUGUAUAACAGUCAUGGAGAAACUUUAUUUUGAGUUUACUACCCCCAGUAAAAAGUUUACUAGGGGUAGUAAACUUUACUAGUGUGUAUUAUGGUCUUGAAAAUACUGUUUUGUAAGUUUACUACCCCCAGUAAAAAGUUUACUAGGGGGUAUAAACUUUUUUUUUCGUACUUAGGUUAAGAUCACGUAAAUUCCGAUGACAUUUAAAAAAAUCCAGUGAGAUUCCGAAAAAUCCGGUCCACCGGAUGCCGGCAAUUUUCCGGCCGUCGGAAAAUUCAGGUCACCGGUGACCGGAAUCCAGCGGCCCGGAGUUUAGAGUCCGGCGACCGAAAUGCGGCUGCCGGUGACUGGCGUCGGAGCCCGGUGUGCUUCCGGCAAAGUCUUCCCUCCAUCUUUUUCACUUUUUCUCUUUAAGUAAAAGCUAAGGGUAAAAAAGUCUUUAAAAAUAUAAUUUUAUUAUAUUUUAAUAAAAAUUUGUGUAUUUGGGCUUAAAAUAAAUACCUUGUAUUUAAAUGGGCUAAGAAAAAAGAUUAUCAUUGAAAUAGGGUUUGACUUUUUCUAUUUUGUGCAAAUUGUCUUUUUCCCGAUCUUUAAUUAUGUAGUUUGGUGGUUUUUGAGGUCUAAACCCUAAAUGAUUGGCUCAUUGUAGGUUUCCAUGAAUAACACCUCUCUGUCAGAAGAAAAGGAACAAGUAGCAAAGAAGUGUAGAAAAACUAAAGACUACCAAGAAACUGUAUCCAGAGUGUUAAACAGCACGUGGCCCGUAAAUCACAUUAUAUUGAUACUGUCCCAACUUAACCACCUUUAAAGUGUUGGGUUUUAAUCACAAAAGGCCUCGGUAGAAUUGGAUAAGAUUCAUCCACUUAUAAGUUAUAUUUUAUUUGUCACUUUUCUGAUGUGGGAUCUAUUCCUCUCCAAUACUUCCAACACGCCCUCUCACAUGCAACCUGACUCAAGGUCUGCACGUGGAAUGAAUCAGGACGGAACUAACCAAGGGACACUCGGUGACAAUCCAAUCAGAACAUUCCGAUGGUAAGAUGAGAAGUCAGAACUGGGCUAGAGAAUAGAAUCCCGAACCAAACGAGAGAAUGAACCCAAAUCGGGUCCAUAAGAAUUGGAGAAGUAAUUGGAGAGGGACCCGCUCUGAUACCAUGUUAAACUGCGCGUGGCCCGUGGAUCACAUUGUACCGAUACUGUCCCAACUUAACCAUCUUUAAAAUGUUGGAUUUUAAUCACAAAAUGUAUCGGUACAAUUAGAUAAGAUCCAUCCACUUAUAAGUUAUAUUUUAUUUAUCACUUUUUUCUGAUGUGGGAUCUAUUCCUCUCCAAUACUUCCAACACAUAGCAAUGUAUCAAAUUUGAACUAAGAAUGACAUCCCAAGUCUAAAAAAGAAGAGGAAGGAAGAAACAAGGAAGAGAUUUACUAAGAGUUGUGAAUGUUGAGAGUUAACAGAAUGCCUCGAUAUAAUUGGAUAAGAUCCAUCCACUUAUAAGUUAUAUUUUAUUUGUCAUUUUUCUAAUAUGGGAUCUAUUCCUCUCUAAUACUUUCAAUACAUAUCAAGGUAUAAAAUUUGAAUUAAGAAUGACAUCCAAGUCUAAAAAAGAAGAGGAAGGAAGAAACAAGGAAGAGAUAUACUAACAGUUGUGGAUGUUGAGAGUUAACAGAAGUACAGUCCAUUGAUUUCACAGGCAGCUUUCUGCAGAGCUCUUCUUACUCUUGAACAAGACAAUGUUUAAUGUGUUGAAUGUUGAUGAUACCAUACAAGAUUAGAGAUUUAUAUAGCCCUAUAGGCUUUUCUGCUAAAAGUGAGGAUGAGUUUGAUGAAACAGAAUAGGGGCUCUUGUUUAAUAGGGGCGUUUGCAUUUGUGGGGGCUUUUGUUUGCGUUUGUAAUAUCAUCAAUUUUCUAUAGAAAUUCAACGUCUCUGAUAGCUAGUCAACACUUGUAUCCCCAGAAGCAAAUAUAUUGGCGUCACAUAAAAAUAGUCCGAAGUCCGAACAGCGAAAAGAAGUAUCGUAUGACAGAUUGGAGUCCAAGAGGAGUGUUAGCUUGGUAUGAAAGACAAACCUAGCUUGGUAUGAUAGACAAACAUUUAUCUAUUUAGCUUGGCUGAUAUAUAGUUAGAUUUGACUCCAAGGUUCAACUCCUCUCGGAGUCAAAUCUCUUUUUUAUGUAGAAGUUAAAAUGGACAAUCUGGGACCCUUUUCGUUUCGGUACUUCACACUUCGAUGUUAGUUUCUGUUAUUUUUCUGUGAGAAAAUGGAUAGAGUGGCUCUGUUUGAAUGAGCGUAAUUUCUAUUUCUAAUUUAAUUCUGGUAGGUUGAUGUUUCUGGAGGUCCAAGAACGGUUUGGCUCAUCGGAGGUUUAUCGAGGACAGAAGCAGAGGCCAUAUGGGGUAAUUGGGCGGCGAAUAUUUGUCAUCAUAGAUUCUAAAUAACCUCCUAAAAUGAACAUUUCCUGAAGAACACCUCGUGCAUGUAGUGUGUUUCUACUUUCUAGUUCAAAAGAAAAGGAAGAAGUAGCAAAGAAAUAUAUAUUGAAAAAUGAAAACUAAAGACUAAACAAGAAACUGCGUCCAGAGCAAGGUAUCAAAUUUGAACGAAGAAUGACAUUUCAGGUCUAAAAAGGAAGAAGAAGAAGAAGAACGAUUAAACAAGGAAGAGAAAAACCAAAGCAAAUACUCAAAUAGUAGCGAAAGUAGAUAUACUAACAGUUGUAAACGUUGAGAGUUAACAGAAAUGUCGUCCUCCAUUGAUUCCACAAGCAGCUUUCUGCAGAGCUUUUCUUACUCUUGAACGAAAGUAAGAGUAGGGUGCUUUUUAGAAAACAAGACUCGGGUGUAGAGUGUCGAAAUUUGAUCCCAUACACAGUGCUCAUAUAGGCUUUGUUGGGUUAAAUGUGAAUGAGGUUGAUAAAAUAUAAUAAACGUCCAAUUUCAAGCCUCAAGCAGUUUUUUUGUAUUCGACUUGCAACCAGUUCGGAAAUGCCCACACUGUCCUGUCGAUUUGGACGUUUCUGUUUUACCGAAACCAGAAAUUCAUGAUAAUUCCGUAAUUUGCUGUAUCCGAACAAUGAAGAGAAAUAUCCUAUUGUAGAAAAACUGUUUUUUUUUUUUUUUCCCGACAAUUGUAGAAGUUAAACUGUUGAUGUUUGGAUGAGUUCUUAAAGUCUUCUCAAGUUUCGAUUUGGAUAGCUUUCUUCGUUGCUGCAUUUAUUUUGGGUAUGUUGGGUUAGGUCAUCUCUUUUAUAAUUUUCAUCUUCUUUAAUAAAACCUCAGGUGUUGUGGAGUUCUUCAUCCUGUUCGAUCAAUACAGAAAAUCAUACAUCGUCUAUUUCUCAAUGACCCGACUCUCUGACAUAAUGGUAUGGAGGUUUUGUUACCACCUGUUCAGCAGAACACCCAAACAACCGAAAUAUAAUCAAAUUCAAAGUAGAAUGGAUACCCAAAUCAACCUCAAAUAUAAUCUAUCAGAACACCUCUAUAACACUCUUGCUGUAAUGUUACACUUUUCCGUUCAGCAAACUUUUCUAUAAACUUAUUAUGAUUAAUCAUACAAGUCCACUCAAUAAAUGACUUAUCUCCUUUAUUUUAGAGAAACAGGAGACCUAUCAAUCGGAUAUCUUUGCCGCGGUGGACGCCUUCUCCUCUUACGUAGCCCAACGUGUCACUGCCAUACUUCUUUCCUCGAGUUCCUGCAGCUCUCCACAUUGAGGCUGCAGCUCCAUCUGGGGCUGACAAACUGCAGCCUGCACAGUACUAGUAGUAGAUAAAGUGCAAUUUCCCAAACGCUUCCUCCCUCUUCCCCCGCCAACCUUACCAGCAUUUCUCUGGGAUAAACCCGACUGCCAGCUGCCACCACUUGAUCUAAUCGACCCUUCAAAUGUUUUAAGAUCCUCAGUCACCUUAUUUCUUGACAAGCAAGCAAUACCGGGGAGAACAUCCCUCUGCAAAUCCUUCUUUUGCCUCCCUCUCCUUGUUGGACCCCUUUGUAGCCGUUUUGACAAUGACUUCUUUUUUUGGGUUGUCUGACGCGACAUUGCAGCACUGAUCUAACUCGGUUUCCGCCAGAUUUAAUGUCAUGUACGCAAAGUAAUCCAUUGAGUCCAGUGAGGAGUCUUCAUUACAGGCAGAAGUCAACCUGACAAAUGGGCGGGUUGGGCGGUUAACGGGCGGGCUGUGACGGGUUAACGGGUUCAACGGGUUCAACUUGUUACAACCCGUUAAGCUAAUGGCUUAACAGGUUGAACCCCUUUGGUUCAUGGGUUAUCUGUUGGAACCUGCUAAGACCCGUUAAGGUCUUUUUUUUUAUUUUUUUUUUUUUAAUUAUUUCUUUUUCUUAAUAACUAAUCAACUACCUUUUUUUUUCUUUUUAAUAUUCUUUUCUAAUAAAAUCAAAUACCCAUAUUUUCUUCUCUUCUAAUAUUUCUUUUUAUUUUUACCCGUUGGUAAUGCUGCUUCAACAAUAUUACUUCUCCUCUAUGCAAUUAUAAGUUUAUAACAUUAAUAUCCAAUUGUAAAAUUGAUGUCAUUCGCCAAGCUAUAAUCAGACCAAUAUUUCUCAAACUUGAGGUUCAUGUCAUUCGCCAUUUGUCUCAUGAAUGCAUCUUUGUCUUUCAUGGCUUGUUGAAUGUUGUGCUGAAUCAUAAAUACCUUGGGGAAAAACAAGUUCGAAGUUGGAUACUUGGUUCCAGAAAAUAGGCAAGUGACAUCAUAAAAAUAUCCUAGGAACCUCGAGGUCUGCUCAACCUUGAUCCAUUCAUCAAAAGAAGAACAACACUUAAAAUCUGUGUCACAUAAUGCAAAGUUGAUCAAAGCACGGCGAUAGAAGAGUACACUAUCUAGCAUAAGAUAGGUGGAGUUCCAUCUAGUAGGCACGUCUUGUCGCAAAGCUCUCCUACUACCUCCCAUUCCAACUUGAUCAAUACAGCCCAAAAAUCUUUCCUUUCUUGCCAUUGAACCCUUGAUGUACUUGAGACACUCACGAAUCUUUAUCACUGACUGAUCAAUAGAUUUCAACCCAUCUUGAACAAUUAAGUUCAAGAUAUGUGCACAACAUCGAACAUGAAAAAAUUUCCCAUUUAACAAGAGUAGCCCUCUAAAAUUCAACUGAGUUCUCACUUCUCAACAAAGGAAUCAUUAGCAGAUGCAUUAUCCAAUGUAAUCAAAAACAGUUUCUUCUCAAGUUUUUAAGCACUUUUGUCAUGCAACCGAACUGUAAUAAGCAAGCAAAAUAAAUACUCUUUUAUUAUAAGUUACUGUUUCAUGGGUACUUCCAACUACAGAUAUAUUUUUUCAGAAAGUAUGUACCUGUUAAUGAGAAAUAGCAUUCUUCGAUAUAACAUCAAAAGUAACUCCAUUUUCUUGAAGCCUUUCUUGAAGAUCAGUUGGUCCAAAUACAAUCCCAGCUGGGAGAACUCCUCCCUUUGGAAGGUCGUCACGUUGGCUCAGAACAAUAAGAGCACAUUGAAGUAGAAUUAUCGGGGUCGUUAGGUAUCCAAUUUCAGGUCCCAUAACUCUUGUUACUAUUUCCAUAUCAGGUUUUGUGUUUCCCUGAGAAACAAGACUCCUGUCGCUGAAACCACGUCCAACAAACCACAUCUUAAAAGAAGCACUUCUCACCUCCUCAUCAGAUGGACCCUCCUUUCUGAACAAUCCAACACUGAAGAAUGAGGGAAACUUUAAAAGCAGCCACCUCCCAAAGGAAAAUAGACCCAAGAGCCCAAGAAAGAGUCCAAAAAUCAUGAUCCGAAUAAUGCCCAACAGAGACUUGGUGCCUAUCUUCACCCCAAAAUGAGCUGGCUUCACUGUUGACCAGAAGGCUUCUCUUUUCUUAAUAUGUUCAUCAGUCUCAUUCCUCCCUGGAAGACCACCAGGAUUUUCAGUCAAAGCACCAAGUGUUCUUCGUACAACAAUAGCAUCUGCUGAAGGUAGCUUCACAGCCCAAAGACCAAUCUUUUUCUGGUGUUCAAUAAUUGGUCCUUUAGAAGGAGAAGGACCAGGAAUCUACAAACAAAAACGUAAAUCAUGAUCAAUCAAUUGAACUCCCUGGCCAUUAAGAUACAUAUCAAUCUUUGUUCUCAACCCCCAAAAGUUACAUUUUUUAGUGUCUAUGCCGCAAACAUUUGAAGGAGAACUGCAAGGUAUAAUUCUAUAAACUAUGAAUCCCCUAUAUCAUUCAGCAAUAGAACUAAAAAUGCAUGAGUAAGCCAUUCUACAUGUGUCUUGGCUACCAAUAUUCUACUGUUAGCUUCCGAUAAAACUUGUAAACUUGUGUACAAAGACGUGCAGGGUAUCAUAUAGCAAAGGAUGUACAGUACAUAACUACCAAUAACCAAACCACUGAUUACGUCUGUAAGGAAUUUGAACAAAGAUACAACAAAGAACAAAGAAACACAAGCCUCAAUUGUCGUUCUUUACUAACUAACCAUAACUGCAUCUAAAGUUCUAAGCUGCCACUGGUAUAACACAAACAGAGCUACUUUAACAUUUCAUUUCUGCUUUCCCCUACAUCACUAUCCACAAAAACAGAACACAGCAGCAAAGUUUUCAACUUCAAACAACAAAACCAAUCAAGCAAUCAACAAAUCCAAAAAAGUAUGGUAAUCUAAUCAAACUCAUUACUUGCGGCCUCGGUUUUUUUGGCCUGGACCGCCGGAGCGCAUUGGUCACACCCAACACCACCGACUCAAACGUCCCAAAGUUCCCCGCAAUCCUCUUAUCACUCUCCAAGCUCAAAUAAGCCUCCACCCUAUUCGGUACCGCCGCCCCCUCCCACUGCCUCGAGUUAAACAUCACUCCAAGCUCCGCCGGAACAGAGUCAAACCCGCAUGCCGAAAUGACCAAACUACCCUUCUCCGCCGCAUUUUCAAAGUAACUCGCCUCCAUCCUCUCCAUGAACUCCGGCUCUCCNNNNNNNNNNNNNNNNNNNNNNNNNNNNNNNNNNNNNNNNNNNNNNNNNNNNNNNNNNNNNNNNNNNNNNNNNNNNNNNNNNNNNNNNNNNNNNNNNNNNNNNNNNNNNNNNNNNNNNNNNNNNNNNNNNNNNNNNNNNNNNNNNNNNNNNNNNNNNNNNNNNNNNNNNNNNNNNNNNNNNNNNNNNNNNNNNNNNNNNNNNNNNNNNNNNNNNNNNNNNNNNNNNNNNNNNNNNNNNNNNNNNNNNNNNNGGAGAUUCCCAAAUGAAUGGGGAAUCAUUCGGGGAAAGAUCGUGUUGGAUAUUAUAAGCCAAUUUGUUUCUAAUUUUUGGCAUAGAUCGUUUAGCCGGGGCUAGAGUUUCUUCUCUAUUAGUUCAUAGAAGCUAGGAGAAGAUGCAGAGUUGAGUUUGGGUUAGAGCUUUUCGGAUUUGAGAGGAAUCAAAGCCUAUAGAACUGUUAUGAAUUGAAAACUAACCUCUUCCCUUGAGCUAAUGUAAUCAUAAUGCGACAAUUAACUGAUUCAAAUAGUCAGUCUCUGUUUUCCGCGAAAGUCAUGUCUCUGUUUUAAACCCCAAAUCCCAAAUCAAAACUAAUGUAAUACAAACUCAAUCCAGCAGAGUAAACUGGAAAAUUUGUUUUAGUUAUUAUCUUAUUACAACAAAAGCCUUCAUUUUUUAUUCAAUCAGGUGUAUCAAGUCUGUGGCAGCUAUAGAAAUUAAACAGGCACCUCAUUGGUGUGGUUCUGGAUCAGGUCAUUCAAUUUCUGAGAGGCAUGAACAACUGCUGCGAUUACAUUACUUUCCAUUAAUCGGCGAUUCAAAUCAACGAGUUUCUGCUUCAAUUCUCCAAAGUCUCCUUUGAGAUGCUCAACUGCAUUUUGGAAGAGUGGUUUCAGAGACCGGUAAGACUUGCUCACGAACCAUACAAGGCAGAUGCACCAGAAGAAGAGUAAGAUCAUUCCGAAAGUUGAAAUCAGGACGAGCAGCUCUAAUAUCAGGGAUAGACUUCCAAGUAAGAGGGUGAUUUGGAUCAUCAGAUCUUCCAAAUCUGUGUUAUUGCCAUCGGCCAGAAUUGCCAUCACAAUCAAAGAGAGGAUGUAAAUGCAUGUCACAAUGAUGAAUACGUUCAUCAGCUGAGAGCCGUGGACCGUCGUGUAUGGAGACACAUUGGGAAACUUGAGUUGCAGGCAGAAUCCCAAGACGCCGAUCAGAGAUAUUAUGCAUGUAUGCAAUUUCACUAUGGAAUAUCUCGUAAGAACAGCCUCCCUCCUUGUGUUUGUGUUGGUGCUAUGACAGAGAAAAUUAACUUAGUUAGAACUAUAUUCUAUGUCCAUGUCAAUUAAAUUUGUAAAAACACCGUGGUGUGUGUUAAUUUGUUGAUGGAUACAAGAAGUUCGGAAGAAAAUGAUAAAAAAACAGGGGAUUCCUAGUCAAUCAUGCAGAGGAUAUUGGAUUACAUAAUCUUUGCAACCGAAUAGAGUUUAAUAUCUAAGGACCGGGUUAGUAUUAUUAUACCUUGAUCUGAAUCAUAUGAUUGUAGGAUGCGUGAGGUCAAAUUUUAAUAAAAGCAUUAAAGAACACUAGAAUCUAUAACUAUAAGAAAGAAAUAGAGAAGAGUUUUUAUUGAUUGUUCUGGGAGAAGUAUUGAGGCUCUUAUCCUGUGCAUGAAGUAAGUGAUGCAGUAUGAAGAUCGUGUUCUUUCUUUUAAAAAAAUAUAUAUAUCCUUNNNNNNNNNNNNNNNNNNNNUUUUGUUUCGUUUUUUUUUUUUUUUUUUUUGUAAUAAUCUUGAUGUGGGCUGGACUCACACCGACUAGAACCGAGAGAUUAUUGCGUGGCCUGGUACUUUGUUAAUGGGCCAAUUGAUACUGCCUGUUUAUGUCAAAUUGAGCCGGUCCACUCGCAAAACUCAACAAUAUUGCUUCCCGCUCUUUUCCGCGAAAUUCAUCAAAAAGCAGAAAUCUUUGCAACUUGGUCUAAUUAUGUACAGAAUUGCAAUCUGAAAAAGUGAAAACGAAAGCAUGAAAUAGAAAUUACAGUGUUACACUGGUAGCUCCUUGCUGAGGUUCUUGGUUUCAUCAUGCUCCGUCGAAUAGCGGCUCCUCUUAAUCAGAUCCAUCAAUUUCUCGUAAGCACGACCGAGUCCAGCAACUGAUCCCAUCAGCGGCCAUUUAGUGAGAUCAGUCUCACUUGGAAUUCACCCAAGGCACUUUUGCAUAGUGUUUUAGACAGUUGGUACUAAUCAAUUGCAGUGAUUAUAAGAUACAUGCUCCAGGAGGAGAAGGCGAACCAUCCGAAAGAAACCAUUAAGAAUAUAAACUAGUAAUUGAAGUUAUUACAGUAACUUGCUAAAUCAAAUGUCCGAAUGUAUCAUAUAUUUAUCACCAUAUUCUGAUAUUCAUCAAAUAUACGAGGUAGGUAGAAACUAAACAGGAGAUAGCUCAAUCAUCUGGUUCUGGUCUUGUGCUUUAUGCUCCAUCAUCUGGUUCUCGUCUUGUGUUUUAUGCUCUGUCGUGUGGUCACUCCUAAUCAACUCAGGCGAUGCAACAAUGCCGCUAUAUAACCUUGUACAGUAUUCCAUCAAGCUGUCAUUGAUCCAUUUCAGUUUCUCCUUCAAUUCCACAAAGGCUAGGCGAAGAAGAAGCACAACUGCAACUACAACGCUCACUGUAAGGAUGGUCCAUAGGAAGAACGGAACUGAUCCAUAAGAUAGAACAAUGAUGAGCAGUUCCAAAAUCAAGGCAAGAAUCCCAAAGAAGAUGCUAAUGUUGUUUGUGAAUGCACCAAAAUCUUUGAGAUCGGGAUCAGCUUUGAGUUUCUUGGCCGCGUACAUUAAUCCAAAGUAGAAGACUAAGACUACAUCAAGUAGUGUGAUGAGAUUUUCCAUCCCUGUUGUAUACUUCAGUCCAAAUAACAAGGCAAAGAAUGCGUUCAUUCCAUGGUGAAAGUCCCCUGAACUGCUCCGACUCGGUGGAGUAGCCUCCUCCCUUUUCCUGUUAUGAUUUGAUCAGGAGUUCAGGACACAAAAGAUUAGUCAAAAACCAUAAUAACAGAGCUCCACUGUUACAUUAAUAAAGCAACAUCUCACUGUGAUAACUGAUAAGAUACCAUAUAAAGGAAAAUCAGCAUUGAUAUUGGUGGAAACAUAUAUAUAUCAACCAAUUUAGUGUUGCCAAGUAUCAAGAAUCAGCAAUAUGAAAAAUUGAAUGCAACAGUAGGGCGUUCUCCGAGGAUUAAGGCCAACACCGACCACCGCAAUUCCAUUCCAGAGAACGGCCCAAUUCCCUCCUGCCGAGUCCACUCGCUCAGCCGCUCCAAUUCUUGGUAUAACAAUCUCCCACUCUAUCAUUCUGCUAAUCCAGGGCCACUGAGCAGAGACUAUUCUGGUGAACUUUGAGGUGAUUGAAGACGAGCAGUAAAGGAAGACAAAGGACGAUGCCGUGAUCAGGAGAACGUGAUUUAACAGGAUGAUACCGUGGAAGCGGACGGAGCGGUGGACCAGGUCGGCGGAGUAGAAUAGGGUGACGCGGAAGCCGGAGAAAAAGAGGACGACGUUGAAGCCGGAGAUGAAUAUCGGAGAAGAUGAAGAGGACGGGCCGAAACCCGAGAUGUAUACGACUCCUACGGAGACGUAUACGACUCCUCCGGAGAAGAGGACAGGGAGUCAGGGUCUCAGGGUCUCAGGGACGACGAGGACAAUGAAGCCUACAACAAAAAGAGGACGGUGUUGGUGUUGGUGUUGGUGGUGCCGUUUUUCUUGCAUGUGGUGGUGGACUGUUGGUGAUGUUGAUAAUGGUGGCGGUGCUGGGUUUAGUAGUGGUGGUGGUGUUGUUGCUGGUGGCGGCGGUGUUUGUGGUUGUGGUGGUGUUGGCCGUGAUGGUGUUGUUGUUUGUAGUGGUGGUUAAGGUGGUGAUUGUGGACUUGUGGUUGUGGUGGAGGUGGUGGUGGAGUUUGUGGGGGUGGUACUGGAGGUGAAAUGGCGGCGUAACGCGGUGUUUGUGGUGGUGGUGGAGGUGUUAUGUUGUUCUUUACGGCGGCGCCAGCGGUGGUACCUCAAAAAUACCCCAGGAAAAAAAAACAUAACAACAACAAAAAGAUUUUGUUUGAUCAAUGCAUAAAAACUAGAAGGGAAAUUAACAACAUCCUUUUCCAGAAGCGGAAGAUCAGCGGCAGAGCUCAUAGCGGCUUUUUGCAGUUCUAUUUCCUUCUUCUCUUCCACAAGUUUAGUGAUGAGCGUAAUGGAACACAGGCUGGAGACUGAAAACUCUAAACGAAAGAUUCUUUGGCACAGUUGCAGUUGCGUGAAAAUUGUUGACGUCGCAUGACUUCUAGAUAGAUACACAAGAUGUGAGGAUGUGUUGCGGCUGUUCAGCCCCUGAAUAUUUGUCAAAUGUUGAGGCUACGCCAAUAUCAGCAUCAAUUCUCAAAACAAUUAGACAAAUGUUGAGAGAGAGAUCAGCCGACCCUUCUCAACAUUUGAGCAACCAAGCCCUUCUCAACAUUUGCGAAACCAAGUCCCUUGGCUGAGAGUGACCCUUUGUAAUAAUUGUCCCCACCAUAUUCUUAGUCUAAAGUUCAAGAUAGGCUAACUAUAUUAUGACCAGACAAUAAAUGAAGUUUAUUGACAGUCGAAGCUUAUAUGUAUUUAUCUUUCUCUAACAAAAGAUUUUCUUGUGACUUGCUCAAUAGAUUCAAGCAACAAUAAGAAGAAAUAUUUGUCAAUUUCUCGGGUAUAAGUAAAGUGUAUAACACAUUGGACUAUUAGUUUUCUUCUAUUUUUUCUCGGCAUCAAAUUUUUUAUUUUUUUGGAUAAAUCAAACAAUGUGAUAUAUUUGUUUUUAAAAUUGAAGCUAUUGUGUUUGAUGAUUUAAACUAUAUAUAUAAAGUAUUAAUAUAAUCAUUAUUUAACAUACAAUGACAUAUGUAAAUUGUGACUAUUUAAAUUUUGACCUUGCUUGAUAAAAUUUCUGGCUACGCCACUGCCUAUAUUGGCUACGCCUCUGGCAACAUGUAUAUUUUGAGCGAUAUGGAUAUUAUAGAGAUUAGAGAGUAACAUAUGUGCAUGUUAUAGAUUACAACUAAUUAGAUUUAGUUUCUCCACCACCUGCGCAUAUGUUCAUUGACUGGUGAGUAGGGAUGACAAUGGGUAAGGUAGAGUUAGGGGAUCAAAAUACCAUACCCGUACCAUUUUUCAUUCCUCAUCCCCAUACCUGCCCCAUUUCCCGUAAUUAGAUAAUGAAGACUCCCCGUACCCGUCUUUUUUGGGGAUUACGUUCCCAUACCCACCCGAUCCCCGUUAACAAUUAUGUAAUAAUUAAUUUUUUAAAAAAUAAUUACAAAAUAUAGAAAUAUAAAAAUAAAAUCAAAUACAUAUAUAAAUAAGUUUCUUGAUUCAAUCCAACAAAAACGAAUACAAGUCUCGGUUAAAAAAGAAGUUUCUAUAAAUAUUUAUUAAGAGAAUCAUAGUAAAAAAAACAUAUUACAAAAUAUUUUACAUAAAUAUCUAUUUAUAAAUAAUAUAUAUAUUAAAAAUAAUAUUUCCAUUCUAAAUGGGUGGAGAUGGGGAUGAAUAUCAAAAUAUCAUACCCGCCCCGUACCCGAUUCAAAAAUCCGAAUACUGAGGAUCCCCAUAUCUGUCACCCGUUUAUCUCAGUAUAUCUCUCCCGUUAAGGUCGAAUACCCAUGAGUACCCUACUCACUGGGUAUUAUUGUCAUCCCUACUGGUGAGAGCAAAUUUGAAGCCAAUGUGAAUUAAAAAGGGUGCGGCUAUUUCCACCCCAGUAAAUGCUCAGUUCACCCCACGCUUUAUUUUUUACCUUCGACGUUCCAAUUCUGCCCUUAAAAUUUUGAGAAAAUCUGGUUUUUAUUUUAUUUCUUUUAUUUUCCUCAAUAUGAUAAAAUCUAAAAAUAUAUACACAUAUCUCAUCAAUAUAUUAUCAAUAUAUUUGACACAGACCUCCAUUCUUCUCAAACCACAUCAUAUAUAUGUUCUCCUCGAUCUCUUUCUUAAGUUCAUUCUUUACGAUUAUGAAUAUAUACAUAUAUAUACAUAUAUGUGUAUAUAUAUAUGUGUGUGUGUGUGUGAAAGACUACAUUUGAAACCAUAAAUAAAAUAAAAAUAAGAACGAACAAUCCCACCACACUGUAUAACUACUCUAUUGAAGAUUGAAGUGAUCCUCGAUCAAAUUUGAUUUGAAAAAUCGAUGUAGAAAAUUGUUUUUUAUUUUUUAAAAUUUUUUUUCCUGAUGUAAAGAUGUAGAGAAUUGUUGUUGUUUGGAUUUUAUAGAUUUUAGUUUAAUAUUAUAUUUUCACAAAAAUUAUUGAUUGUGGGGUUAGUAUUGAAAUAUUUAGUUUAAAAUUAAAAUGUGGGGUGAACAAAGUAUUUAGUGAGGUGGCAAUAGCCGCACCCAUUAAAAAUUGCAUAAUAAAUCUGGUGGUCAGACAUUUCCCAAGAUAUAUAUACAUGUUUAAAAACAUUAGAACUUUUGGGUCCUAAAACCUCAAUGAACAAGAAUUAUACAAAAUAAGAAAAUGGUUAUGUGUGGUUCCUUUUCCUCUGAUGUUAAGAGUAAAGACUUAAGCCCGAUGCGAGUGUGAGCAGGAGACUUGGGAGAGAUAAUUAGAAACCCUUCAUGUAAAAACAGCUUUAUUUAAUUAUCAUAUCUGGCCACUAUUGUGAAAUCUAAAAGAAAAAUAGAUUAUUCUAAAAAAAAAAUUGACUGUUGAAAAAGCAAAACAACAAUCGUGGAGGAUAGGGGAUUAAUAGAGUAUGAGUUAUAUUAUUAAGGACUCACCCAUUUCUGAAGGUAGUGCUAACAGAUUCAUUAUCGCUAAUGGUUUUUUCGAUUGUUAGUAUAUAUAAUAACAAAUUAUAUAAAAACAUUUCUAUUUUUCGAUCAUAGCAUACUUUCCACCACACCUUUUCAACAUUCUCCUUAUGUCAUUGCCCAACUACUUAAUCAACAGAUUUUUCUAUGUUCUACCAGAGAGCUCCUCUAGCUCACUCCCAUCCUCCAACAAUACAAUAUUUUUGGCAUUGCUAAGGGCAGAGAACCUUGCCCUCCUAUUUUUCUAUCAGUUUCAGCACACAUCAAUCAAUCCUGCAUAAAUGUACAAAAGUGGUUGAAGCUAGAGAUACCGUACCUGACGUCGCAUAUGGCUGACCGCCACCAUUUCUGAUGCUGUUCUUCGAUUCCAAGUGGAUUGCUUCAUGGGAUCUAUGCCUCAACUCAGUAGCGUCUUCAGCAUCCAUUUUUGCCGGUGUUUAGCUCUGAAAGAAGUGUCCGGCAAUUGAGAACGGACAACAAUCUUUCAUCCACAAGAGCUGAACCCGUCAACCGGAGGCUGAGUCAGAGCUAGUGUGGAAGAGUGGGCCAGUUGAUUGAUCUAAUCCAAACGCUGAGCUUUCCUCAGAUCUCGACCAACAUUGACUCCUCCGCCACGACGAUGGUUGCAUAUUUUCGUUGACUUCAGUUGCCCAUAUAUUUACUAGAUUGAGACGCUGGAUUUAGAUUCUAGAAUCUACUGCUAUUAGUCAAUACUUUAUGAAACUCGUUUUUUCCCUAGAUCGUUAUCGACUGGGCCUGGGCUGGACUCCUACCGACUAGACAUAAUUGCAUGGACUGGUAUUUUGUUAACGGGCCAAUCGACACGGCCCGUUUGUCAUAUUGAGCCCGUGUGGCCGGUCUAUUCGCAAAACUCAACAAUAGUGAUUUUCCCGCUCUUUGUGUAAGCCCCCCAAUACCCAAAAUUAAAAAGAAGAGGUCUUUGAAACUUGGUCUAAUUAUGUACAGAAUUACAAACUGAAAACGAAAGCAUGAAAUAGAAAUUACAGUGUUACACAGGUAGCUCCUUGCUGAGGUUCCUGGUUUCAUCAUGCGCUGUCGAAUAGCGGCUCCUCUUGAUCAGAACCUUCAAUUUCUCAUAAGCACGACCGAGUCCAGCAACUGAUCCCAUUAAGCGGCCAUUUAGUGAGAUCAGUUUCACUCGGAAUUCACCCAAAGCUAGAAUAAGAGCUGCAACUGCUCUUUUGCAUAGUGUUUUAGACAGUUGGUACGAACCAAUUGCAGUGAUCAUAAGAUACAUGCUCCAGAAGAAGAGUGUGAGCCAUCCGAAAGGCGGAAGCAAGAUGAGCAACUCUAAAAUAGAAGCAAGAGUUCCAAGCAAGACGCCAAUCUUAUUCAUGAAUUCACCAAAGUCUCUAUUACUCUGAUUGAUUUGGAGUAUCAUGACACUUAGUAAUCCGAAGUAAAGAGAUAUGUCGGUAAUAAAUAGUUUCAUCAGAAUAGUUCUGCGACAGUCUUUCACAAGUGCAGACGCAUUUGCGAACUCCAGUUGGAGGCAAAGCCCUAAAAUGGUGACGAGGGAGACUAUGCACUUGUGCAGUGCCAGAACAGAACUUCUCCAAAUUGCAAACUCCUCCAUUAUGUUACUGUGAUGAUCAUAAAUUCGUAAUUCAUGAAUCAUGAGAGUAUUAAUUGGAGUAUAAUGUCAUUGAAAUUAUACGUAUAUCAGUUUAUGAUGUUACCAAGAAAAGUAUUAGUAAAUAUUAGUGAUCCAUAAAUCGUUCAAACUAUAAAGAAAAAUUUUAAAACAAAAUAUAUAAUCAGUAGGGGAUACAGGGGUCCCCUGUCUUAUUUUCAUCAAUAUCAGUGACAUAUCUCUGAGUUCUUAAUCAACAAAUUACUCGAACACCCUGAAUAUUUGGAUUUAAGAAGAGCUCUCAAAAAUACAAAAUCUAUGCAUGAUGCUAACAAAUGAAUAUUCUAUUAACAAAUUAAGAGAACUGGUGCCAGAUGCCAUAGUUCAUGUCACAGAAUGUGGAAUCUUUGACGAAGUCCAUUUCUGAAGAAAAAAAAUAAGAGUAACAAGAUAUUUGAAGACGCUAGAGUUAGAAAUUUAGAGAGAUUCUGAACACUUUAAUACUUCUAUUUUAUCGAAAUUUUUUGUUAAUUGUUUAGUUCACUAAGGAGAUGGUGUGCGUAUCAAUUUACUUGAGUAGAAGAAAUUGUAUUGUUAAAACCAAUGGCCAGAAGGCACGUUACAUCAUAUAUCAGGCUUUAUACAAUCUGUCGAUAAUGACCUACAAGCACUAUGACCCAUACCCUCAUUGAAAAUAAGCUCGAGAAAAACUUGAAGCGUAGGAAACAAAACCAUAACACCUAAGUUCCAGACAAGAAUAAACUAGCUAGCUGCCUAAUUUCCAAACAUAAUGGUUUUGUUUUGUUUUUUUAUUUUUUUUAUAAAAUACUGACAAAGAUUAGGCGAUAUCAGCUCCUCUAUAACAGUCUGGUGGUUGAUAGAGCACCCACUCUACCCCAAAGGGGACCGCUACAACCGGGAAUCCACCGCCCGUCCCUUAUCAGAAUUUUUAUUUAAAAUAAUAAAAGAAAUUACAUGAAAAGAGGAAUGGGGGACUAGGCAACAUAGUGGUUUUGUUUUUCCAACAGAAGUUACUGAACAGAGUGGUAAUAUUUGAAGGAGAAUAUUUUAUGCUUCUGAAUUACAAGCUCUUUGAUCUGAUCCUGGGGAGAAAAAGAAGAACUAGCAAGAACUGUAUAUAUAUUGGCAAACUGCAGACUAGCAGCAAACAUGAUCCUUAGGACUAACAGAGCAACCAGGAAAAAGAAAAAACUAAGUAGAACUGUAUCUAGAGAGAAGUAACAAAUUCGAAUUAAGGAAGACCAAAACCAAAGCCAAAAGUAUAUAGUAGUGAGAGGAUAUACUAACAAUGAUAAACGUUGAGACUUGAGAGUUUAAGUGCCCUCCUCCGUUAAUUCCACAUACAGCUUUCUGGGAGCUCUUGCUCUCGGAGAAGACAAUAUGUAGUGGAUGGAGACUAGGACAAAAAAAAAAAAAAAAACCAGACGUCAGUUUGAUCUGAUAAAAAUAUAUUAGACGUCUUUUUCUGCUUUUGCGUUUUCGUUUUCGUCUAGUUGCAUCCGACAUUCACCAGACGAAAAUGUCGAAAAUGUCCAGACGAAUUGAAGAUUUCUGUUGAAUCGAAAUCAAGGAUCAUAGGAGAGGUGCGUAAUUUUGCGUAAUCUUCCGAGUCUUUGCAACUUGGAGAUGAUACUGGACGUCUUUUUCUGCAGUUCUUAAUUUGUUGAUAGCAGACGUCUUUCCAAUUUUUUAGUAGUAGAAUCAAGGAUGCUAAUCUGACCAGGAAAAAGGAAUCAAGGAAACUAAAAACGCGGAAUCCAUCAAAUCUUACGUCACCAAUUUUCAUACAUGUUAAACACUUAAACGUCACUGACUCUCUGCUAUGGCACAGAACACAUUUCGUCUUCUAACUCUUCAAUGAAUACAUUCCCUUCUGAGCACUGUGCAACCAGUGUAAAAUCAUUAGAUUAUUCUUUAUUAUGAUCAUUUAUUUUUGCAUGAUGUCAAAAGCGGGGUUUACUACAUCACCGCAUGCAUAUGGGCCAUGCUGGUCCGGCCCACUUGAAUAUUGAUGCCGCUCCUUCUAAUACCCAAAUAUUUAGUCUCUAUUUUCGGCUCCAAAUUUCCGAAUGUCAAAUCCCCUAUCGAAAAUUACCGUCUUCGCUUCAGCUAGUAUAAUUAAUCAUAACGAUAAUGCGACAGUUAACUGAAUCGGAUAGUAUUGCCGAAAGUGAUGUAUCUCAGUCUCUGUUUUAAACCCCAAACAAAUCCCAAAUCAAAAUUAAUGUAUUAGAAACUCAACAGCUUAAUUAAAGUUGAAAUCUCUAGUAGCUAGCUACCCUCUUUGGAUACACUUUUCUAACUGUAUCAUUAAAGUACAGAAAAUGACAUCUUUUUAUAUUUUCAGUAUUUUUUACUUUAUGGGUACUCAUAAAGAAAGAAAAAUAAUAAUGAAAAAAAAAUUAAUAUAGGAGAGAGAAUAAACAUAAAUACAAAAUUUAAAAUAAAAUUGAAAAAUUGAGAUACCGAAAUUCAAAACGUGGCUUUUAGUUAGUAGAGACAGCAAUAGAGAAUACCUUUUUAAAAUUCACGGAUACACUAUAAGACUUUUAAAUAAGCAAUAGGUAUGUCAUACCAUAUGGUAUGAUAAACAAACCUCUAAAGCAAAAGAUAAAAAAAAAAAAUAAUGUAUCCUAUGAACCCUUUUCUAGUAGUAUUUCCUUAGGAUUUCCUUAUUAAAAGAGAUGCUUUCAAUGCCGAAUAAGAUGUACGUAUCAAGAGUAGGUGGCAGCUAUAGAGAUUCAACAGGUACCUUCACUGGUGUGGUUCUGAUUCUGGGCUUCAUGCUCUGUCAUCCGCCCCUCAUCCCUGGUGAUCAGGUCCUUCAAUUUUUGAGAGGCACGAGCGACUGCUGCGAUUGCAUUACUGUCCAUUAAUCGGCGAUUCAAAUCAACCAGCUUCCGUUUCAAUUCUCCAACGGAACGAACAAGAUGUUCAACUGCGUUUUGGAAGAGUGUUUUCAGAGACUGUUAAGAGUUACUGACGAACCAUAAAAGGCAGAUGCACCAUAAGAAGAGUAGGAUCAUUCCGAAAGGUGAAAGCAGAAUAAGCAACUCCAAAUUCAGUGAUAGACUUCCAAGAAAGAGGCUAAGUUUGUUUAUCGGAUCUUCCAAAUCUGCGUUAUCGCGUCGACUAGCUUGGAUUGUCAUUACAAUCAAAGAGAGGAUGUAAAUGCAUAUCACAAUAAUGAAUACGUUCAUCAGCUGAGAGCCGUAGAUCGUCGCAUAUGGAGACACAUUGGGGAACUUGAGUUGCAAGCAGAAUCCUAAGACGCCGAUGAGAGAAAUUAUGCAUGUAUGCAAUUUCACUACAGAGUAUUCUUUAGUUUGAACCAACCCUUGUGAAGGUGAAGAGAUAACCACAGUGGUGUCUGCCAUUCCACAGCUUUUCAUAGCAUAAUUAAACUUUGGCCUUAAUUUAAACUUCGAGAAUGUAAACUGAAAGUUUGGCGAAAUGGCGACGUACGCGAUGAGAGAACAAAGCUAUACAUGACAAAGCGCACUGUUUGCCAAAGGAGGGACUGCCCUGUAUUGGUAUGUGCUUCCUAUAUUUCUACUGGCAUCUUGCCAAAAGAGGAACUGCCCUGUAAUAAAGGGACUGCCCUGUAUUGAAUUGUUUUUGUUUUUCUACUGGGAUUCCAGAUUCCUUCUUCUUCUUUUUUUUCACCACUAACCUCCACAUUGAACCAGAAAUCGUUUCUGAGACCCACAUAGACUAAAUAUUUAUACUAUUUUGCAUCUGUGUCUAGCUUUGAGAGAACCCACAGGGGGUUGCUCCGUUUCUAGCUUUGAGAGAACACUAUGCGGUAAAUUUACUGUAGAGGGCGUUGAAGAUCUUGGGCAAGGCUAGACAUUAAUAGCAGCUUGGAACUAGAGAUUAGAAAUGGGGGUGUGGGGAGCGUUUAGGGUAAGGGUUUAGGAAUGGAUUUUAAGUAUACAGGAAGACAUCGUGUAUAUAUAGCAAAACUUGGGAGAUGCCAGGGCUACUAUACUAAGGCUACUAGUAGUUAAUUAGCAGAGGAAAAGUGGUAGAAUUAGGGAAUUUUGGUAGGUUAGAGUGAUUAAAGUAAUCAUCGUCGAAAAGACGAAAGAUGUAGCAAAUCCAGUCGUUUGCACUGUGUGAUGGGAGAAGAAUCAGAAGAUGCAGAUUUACAUGAGUUGGGUAACAGCUUUUGUGAAUCAAAAGCCUAUAGAACUGUCAAUCUGUCAUUGAAUUGAAACCUACUCCCAUCUUUUGAGCUAUUGUAAUCAUAUAUUCAUAUUGCGACAGUUAGCUGAAUCAAAUUGUAUUGCUCGCGUUCUAUUUGCCAGAAUUAUAUAUCUAUUAUAAACAACAAAAUCCCAAAUCAAAAUAAAUGAGUUACACAAUCCUGAAAAAAAUCCGAAUUAUUACAACAAAUGCGUGGAAUUAGAUGUCCAAACGUUUCGUACCAUCAGAUGUAUCAAGAGUUAUCAGGUAUAGCUAUUGCAUGCUCUGUCACGGUGGUGUGAUUCUGGUUCUGGGAUUGAUGCUCUGUAGCUCGCCUCUUAAUGCUCACGUUCCGAUUCUGGGGCUGAAGCUCAAUUGCGCGCUUGAGAUUGCUGAUGCUCAUCUUUUCCACUUCAUCAUGUUUAGUCCUCAUGCCGCUGCUCCAAUCUUUCAGCGUCUGUCUGAAUUCUCUGAAGGCUUGAACAAGACGUUCAACUGCAUUGUUCCAGAGUGUUAGCAGAGACUGGUGAUACUUACACAUGAAGCAUAAAAGGCAGAUGCUCAAGAUGAAGCUUAUAAACCAUCCAAAAGUUUUGAUGAGGACAAGCAAUUCUAAGAUCACGGGCAGGGUUCCAAAGAAGAGGCAAAUUUUGUUCAUGAGAUCUUCCAAAUCUGCAUUAUCGCGACGAGCUGAGAUUCCCAUCACAAUUAAGGAGAUGAUGUAAGUGCAGGUCACAAUAAUGAAUGUGUUCAUCAGGCGAGUGCCGUAGACUGUUGCAUAAGGAGACCCAUCGGGAAACUUCAAUUGGAUGGAGAAGCCUAAGAUGGCGAUGAGAGCAAGUAUAAAUGUAUGCGAUGCUACUAUAUAAUUUGUCUGAGAUGCACCCUGCCCUGUUGUGUUGGUGCUAUAUAUGACAAUGACAGAGAAAAUUAUCUAGUUAGAACCUUAUUGUAUAUCUUCACCAAAUAUAAUAUGCAGAGUCAAAUACAGAUAUUAACGAGAAAAUCAUGAAAUAACACUAGAAUCUACAAGUAAGAAAGAGAAAGAGAGAAUAUAGGUUGUGAGAUUGUAAAGGUGUUCUGGCAGUCUUGUGAUUGUUUUUCAGUUUUUAACAAAAUUUGAUCUAAAAUUACAGAAAAACGAAAGCAAAUGAGUAACUAGAAUAACAAAAACUGAUAUCCUUGUUAGUGUUGUGCCCAGGCCAGGCUGCCUGUAAGAGUAUCUGAUCAAUUUAACUUGAUGAAAGAUUAACAAGAAACUAUUGAAUAGAACUUCGACUACAAAAAAUUAAAAACCAUCGAAUAAUUAAAGAUUAAUAUGUACUGACCUGUGUAGUCUUGCACUGGCAUUGUUGUGGCCGUCUCUCUUCAUACUUGUGCUGUGGUUAUAUAUGGUCAUGAGAAGAUUAAUCAGAUUGGAAGUGCAUCACUAUUUCAUAGUUGAAUUGAAAAUUAUAUAAGAAACACACGGACCAGUUAAGGAGCAAAUAAAGGAACAAAUAUAUAUGAUCCACAGCUAAAACUCAUCACUUGCUUAUCAUGAAGGUGUUAAGCUGAUAUACCUUGAUCAGCUGAAUGAUGAAGAAGAAGGCAGUGAAUUAAUGGAAAAUGGUUAGAUGGAGGAGCAUUGGCGCGUGAGCUUCGCAGCUUCAGACUGAUUUUCACUUGCGCGUGGGCAAAUUAUUGUCUCAUAACAACUUCUCUGAAGAGAUUUUUGUGUAAAAUAAGAAUCAAUCAUGGCCUUACACUUGUCACCAUUAUGUGUACCUAAACUUUUGUUUUUUUUUUGGUUCCUUUAUAUCGUUUUGGUUUUGUGUUGGAGGAAGAAGAAACAAACUCCACAACCAGAACACCCCACAAUCACCACCACCGCCAUACCAGCUUUCGAACCCCGCCAGCUCGUGAGAAAGUCGGACGCCUUAACCACAAAGCUGACGGGAAAACCAGUCUGUGUACCUAAAUUUUGGACCAGCUAUAUAUUGUCCAUAUAUGUGUGAGUGCUGGUAGUCCCGGCACUGCAAUUUUCAUCAGAUGAGAAAUCACCAUUUUUGUACAAUAACUCUUGAUUUUAAUACCAGCUUCUUCUUUUUUCAUCACUAUUUUUCUGUUUUCACUUGCUUAUCAAAUUCUAUUCUCUGUGUAAUCUCAUAUUUUCUGUAAGUUUGAUCCUUUAGCUAGAUGUUGGUUUUUCUCUUGUUCAUCAAGAAUUGUAUUUUGAGUGUGAAUUUUAGCAGAAGGAACGAAGUAUAAGGGAUAAAAAGCUACUGAUGAUUCCAAGAACCGCAACGAUGAUGAUGCAUGAAAACAAAGAAUAGCAUUACAGCAGCAGAGCUGCAGAGAGCCAGAGAUCAAACAAAUUUGAACAAUGGAAGAGAUAGAAUAGAUAUACUCACAUGCACAGAGGCUGAGAGGUAAUAGUAGAAUUGAUCUCCGGCAUUAGUUCCGAUUACUUUCUCUACAGCUCUUCGCAGUUUAGCUUGUUCUACUGUGGCAAAUUUCUGUCCAGCAGGUUGUAAUAGAAGAUGGUUAGAUCACUGUGAUGGCCCCAAGUUCCACUUCUUUCCACCCUGUUUAGUCUCCAGCUAUGACUUUUUUGACACCUUGGGCCCGGGGGCAGGGGGUACUGUCGAUUAAUUGCCACGUAUGCCUACCUCCUACUGAGAUUCUCAUACACCGUUGAUUAAUGCAGGCCGACAAUCUAACGGCCGGUUUAUGCCAGGUCUGUCCGGUCCAGAAGCCCAGUACUUCCCGCUCUUUUCCGCGAAACUGAUCGACGUCUCUGUUUAAUCCCCGAUUCCAAAUUCAAUGUAAUUGGAGCGAUUCUAAUCCAAUUUUUGAAAGUUCAAAAAUUAGAAUAGCUCUAAUUAGAAUAAAAUCCUUAAGUUGAGUAUUUUUUAUUAAUUAGUUAUGAGAUAUAUUUUCCGAUCACAUUUUUACAUCUUAACCGUUCAGUUUAUAGGUUUAUAUAAGUAUAUCACUUAUAUAAAUUUUUAGUCAAAUUGGUGAUUGUUAAGGUAUCUAACUAGAUCAAAUCAAUGGACGAACCAAAUCUGUCAAACAUGAACCAUUUAAGUUUAUAAUUUGUAAAUCACGCUUACGAAUACCUUAAUGAUUUUCAAUUCAGCUGAAAAUUUACAGACAUGAUCUACUUGUAUAUACAUAUAAACUGAAUGGUUGAGAUAUAAAUAUGCAAUCUGGAAGGAGGUGAAAGAAAGAAAUCCUCAACUCAUUUUCAACUUACUUGGCUAAGCUAUCACACAACAUAACAAAGUAUUCGCCAAAAUUAAACGUCUACAUUCGUUGCAGUAGCUGCUUCAAUUUUACGUGGUAGCUAUAUAUAGACAUAGGAAUUACAGUGUUACACUGGUAGCUUCUUGCUCUGGUCCUUGGUUUCAUCAUGCUCUGUUGAAUAGCGGCUCCUCUUGAUCAGAUCCUUCAAUUUCUCAUAAGCACGACUGAGUCCGGCAACUGCACUUUCACAUAGUGUUUUCAAGUAUCGGUAUGACUUGAUCGCAACGGUAACGAAACUGAUGCUCCAGAAGAAGAGCGUGACCCAUCCGAAAGGCGGAAACAGGAUGAGCAACUCUAAAAUAGAAGCAAGAGUUCCAAGCAAGAGGCUAAUGUUAUUCAUGAAUUCACCAAAGUCUGUGUUACUGUGAUUGGUUUGGAGUAUCAUGACACCAAAUGAUCCACAGUACGCGGAUAUGUCAAUGAUAAAUAGCCUCAUGAGUACAAUGUUUCUGUAGUCCAUCACAAAUGGAGACGCAGUUGUGAACUUCAGUUGGAGGCAAAGGCCUAAAAUGGUGAUGAGAAAGAAAAUGCAUUUGUGCAAUGUCAUUACAGAACUUCCCCAAUUCGCAAACUCCUCCAUUCCAUUGCUGUGAUGAUCAUGAGAACAUUAAUUGGAGUGGAAUGUUAUUUGAAAUUUUAUGUAUAUGAUGUUGGUAUUAUCAAAUAUUAGUGAGCUAUAGAUCAUUAAGAAGAUCAAGAAACAUACAAUGAUAUAAAUAAUCAGCAGAUGUCCUCUAUUCUAAUUUCUUCAAUAUCAAUAAAUAUAUAUUUGAGUCUGCAGAUGAACUAACAAAUAACUCGAUUCUCUUAAAUUUUGGGAUUUCAAGAAGAACAUAUAUAUAAUCUCAGAACAGAACAACUAUGAAUAGCUACUAACUAAUGAAUAUCUAUCUAUUAACAAUGAGAACUGGUGUCAUAUGCCAGAGUAUAUAACAGAGAAUGUAGAGUUAUAAAUCAAAACUGAAUAUCCAUAUCCAAAGAAAAACAGCAGAGAGUAACAAGUUAUUUGAGGACACUAAACUUGAGUAACAUAGAGCGAUUCUGAACACUUCAAUGCUAUUUUAUUGAAAAGAGGAGCUCUGUUUGAAUGAACUUAUUUUCUAUUUUUAGUUUAGGUCUUUGGUACUAAUUUUCUACAAAAUUAGGCAUGAGUGUUCAGUUCUGAUAGGUUGGUGUUCUUGGAAUUCUAUCUAAGAACAGCUGAACAGUUUGGCUUAUUGGAAGUUUAUCGAGACCCGAGGCAGUCAGGCAGAGGCCUUGGGGUAAAUGGGCGGCAGAAAUUUGUGAUCAAAGAUUCUAAACAACCUCCUAAGGUGAUCAUUCUAUGAAGAACACCUGAUGUAGUAGUGUGCAUCUAUUUCAGAAGAAAAGGAAGUAGCACUAUACUUAAGCCUAACAAGAAACUGUAUCCAGAGCAAGGUCACAAAUUUGAACUAAUUAAGGAAGACAUUGUCAGAUGUGAAAGGAGGAAAGAAACAAGGAAGAGAAAAACCAAAGCAAACAUAGUAGUUGCAUGCAUGUGUAGGUAGAUAUACUAACACUUGCAAAGGUUGAGAGUCAACAGAAGUGCCGUCCUCCAUUGAUUCCACAAAUAGCUUUCCGCAGAGCUCUUCGUACUCUUGAGCAAGCCAAUGUGUCGAUGAUUUUUGCAGAGCUCUUCUUACUUGUGAACAACAAUAUAUAGACUUGUACAGGAUAGCAGUGUGGAUACAAGUCGAUGGACAUUAUUUGAUAAAGUAUAAUGUAGCUAAAGAGGGUUCCAUAUUCUUUGAAAUGCCCAAUGUCCAAACUACCCACACGAAUUGAACAUUUCUAUUGUACCGAAAUCAAGAAUGCAUAGGAGACGACCGUAAUCUUCCUCUAAUUCUCGAAAUCCUAAAAUCCAGUUUCUAUUCCAUUUUCACAGCUUCUAUUCCAUUUUCACAGCUUCUAUUCCACUGACUUUGUCACACUAACAUUUGUGAAGCGCAGCAGCAAGUGUUAAAACUUUUAAUCCAUCUAUUCUAGUGGUAGCGAUAUCACCGAUAUGCGGAACCCAGCAACGCGGUAUCAUGAAUCUUACAUCUAAUAUGACAAUUAUCACUGUUUUAUAGAUAUUCAACGUCUAAUAUGACAAAAAAAAAAACGUAAAACUAAAAGGGAGAAAGACAAAAGAAUAAUAAUUUCGUGGGCCUUUUUUUGUGAUCAUGACGACGUUGGCGUAUGUAUCAGAAUUCAGAGACGAGUUAAUAGAGAGAGAGAGAGAGAGAGAGAAACAAAGGUCAAAGCGAAGCAGUUGUAUAUAUGAGAGAGGAGUACUGGCUAGCUAGAAUGCCCUAUAGCUCUAUAGGUUUUAAAAAAAAAAAAAAAAACUUAAGUAAACUUGGUAAAGAACAAUCUUGAUUUUGUGCUCUGCAACAUCCAGGGACAGGUUUCCACUCUAAGGCCCUGUUUGGUUCAUGGAAUGAAGGGUUUGGGAAAAGAAACUGGUUCCUUUCCUUUGUUUGGAAGCCAACAGGAAAAAGGUAGGAAACGAAACUGGUUCCAAGGUGAAAGGAAAGUUGGAGGGAAAAUGCUUCCCUCUGCCUACCCCAAGCAAUCUCAUUCCCGGCCACAUUCAUACAAUUAUUUAUUAUUUUUUGACCAAAUUGUUGCUAUUAAAAAUUGAUCUUGUAUCCUUCUCAGCUUUUCCAGAUCUGAACCAUGGUUGUCGAAGUUCUCAGCCCACAAGACUGCCUCAAACACCCUUCAUCUCACGGUCUCCUCUCUCUUCCGAUGAAGUACCACCACCGCAAUCCUACCCCUAACAAGGCCGCCUGUCUCCAGCCUGACCGCCGCAAGCCGCAGCCCAAGCCGGCCUCCCCGAUCCAGAAAGCUCUCGUUCCCCUCCUCACCGGCCCUGUCAAAAUCCUCAAGCGCGGCGAAGACCUUCCCAAGCCGGAGGAGCUCCCGAAAGCCAAGGAGAAUUGCUCCCCUCCGAAACAAAACCAGAAGGUUCUAGAUCUCGGAUCUACAGUUUUUUCGGGUCCGAAAAACCCGAAGAAGGGUUUGAAGUUGUUUUGGAUGUUAAAAUUGCAAUGGAAUAAAAAGGAUAAAUUUCAGAUUGUUUUCCUGGUUCUACCAAACACCAGAAAGGAAAAGGGAAAGGAGUUGCAAUUUCCCAUGGGAAAGGAAAAUUUAAGGAACAGAUUCACUUUCCUUUCCUUUCUAUGAACCAAACUAGGCCUAAGAGUGAGGCCUGGGAGGCUGGGAUCAUCUCGAUCAACGCCCCCUUGCAUACGUGGGUUAUAAUAAGAAUUUUGUGUUGAAUUAGGCCCAUACUGGUUCGGCCCACUAUCGGAAUUUCAAAAUAUUACAACCCGCUCUUUUCUGCGAAAUUUAGUCUCUGUUUUCAUCACCAAAUCCGGACAAUGAAAAUGGGAAUUAUAUUGCGUAGUAGGUAUUAUAAGCCAUUGUUUUUUAAUUAAUGAAAUAGACUGGGUAAGCUGCGCUGGAGUUUCAUCUCUAUUAGUUCAUAGAAGCUGUGAGAAGAUGAAGAUUUACAUGAGUUGGGUUACAGCUCUCGGGAUUUGAUAUGAAUCAAAGCCUAUGGAACUGUCACUCCCAUCCCUUGAGCUACUCUAAUCAUAAUCAUAAUGCGACAAUUAACUGAAUCAAAUUGUAUUGCUCGCGUUCUUCUUGCUAAAAUGAUAUCUUUGUUUUAAACAACAAAAUCCCAAAUCAAAAUGAAUGAAUUACAAACUCUGUCCAGCAAGGAAACUUAAAAGUAUCGAAAUUAUUACAACAGAAUCGUGGAAUACGAUGUCCAAAUUACAAAAUCGUGGAAUAAGAUGUCAAAAUUAUUACAACAAAAUGUACCAUCGGGUGUAUCAAGAGUCAUCAGGUAUUGAAAUUACAUGCUCUGCCGCGUUGGUGUGAUUCUGGUCCUGGGAUUGAUGCUCUGCAGCCUGCCUGUCAUUGCUGAUGUUGAGAUUCUGGGUCCGAAGCUCAGUAGCGCCCCCGUUGUUUCUGAUGCUCAUAUUGUCCACUUCAUCAUUUCUAACCAUCAUGCGGCGAGACCAAUCUAUCAGCGUCUGUCUAAAUUCUCCCAAGCCUUGAACAAGAAGCACAACUGCACUUUGGGAGAGUGUAUUCAGAGACUGAGAAGACUUACUCAGGAAGCAUAGAAGGCAGAUGCUCCAGAAGAACAGUACGAUCCAUCCAAAGGGUGAAAUAAGAACGAGCAACUCUAAAAUCAGGGACAGAGUUCCAAGCAAGAGGCCAAUCUUGUUCGUCAGAUCUUCCAGGACUCUAUUAUUGCUAGCAGCUUGGAUUGCCAUCACAACUAAAGAGGCGAGGUAAAAGCAUAUCUCAAUAAUAAAGAGGUUCAUCAUCAGAGUGCCGCAGGCCGUCUCGUAUGGAGAAACAUUUGGGAACUUGAGUUGGAGGCCUACGCCGAAGAUGGUGAUGAAAGAUAUUAUGCAGGUAUGCAUCACCACUACAGAAUAUCCCUGACGAGCACCCUCCCCUGUUGUGUUGGAGCUAUCAAACAGAGAAAUAAUCUGGUUAGAAUUCUCAAUACUCAAUUCUAAAGUCAGAAGUUAGUAAAUUAUGCGUUUAAAAAUGAUGUGAGAUUUUCUUUGACUCUUAAUUUUUCGUUUUUUAUUUGACCCUUAAUUGUUCGUUUUUCUUUUCUUCUUGAGAUUUUCUGUAAAUUUUGCUAUGGGAAUGAGAAAUGAGCAAAGAGUUCAGAGGCAUAUGACCGAGAAUAAUAAAAUAAAAUAAAAAAUGUACUCAACAACUUCCGAUGACGGCCAAAAUUAGACAUGGAAAAUUUGGAGUCUGAUGCCCAAAAGAUAAUCACAACCACUUCCAAACUAUUUUGGGAUUGAAGCAGGUGGGGUUAUUCAAGAUCUAAAUACAGCAGCCUCAGAAAUCAGUAUAUAUGCAUGGUUUGGGGAAUUUCUACACAAUCCACAGCUACGACUCAUAACUUGCUUAUCAUGAUGAUCAAGUACAAGGAAUAAAUAAGUUACUAAGGAUUUCAAGAACAACAACAACGAUGAUGCAUGAAACCAAAAGCUAGCUAGCACUAGCAGCAUACAGGAAACAGAGAUCAAACAAAUUUGAACAAUGGAAGAGACAGAAAGAAUUAAUAGAAGAUGCAUAUAGAUAUACUAACAUGUGCAGACGCUGAGAGCUCAUUUCCGGCAUUAGUUCCGAUUACAGCUUCCUCCAGUUUUCCUCUCCGGUGUUCGUUUUGGUUCAAAUGGAAGAAAGGGGGCUAGAGAUGGAAGUAGUUUGGUGUUUUAUAAUUUCCGUUGGAUUUGCUAUCCUAAAUGACGAAACUGACCACAUGUUUUCAUUUCUGCGUGAAAAUUCGGAUGGAAGUCAUAGUCAAAGUAAGGGCAGUUUAGUCAGAGCGGUGAAUUUGGAUUUUCAUUCGGCAUGGGUUGGUGAAUGGUGAAGGACCAUCUAUGAGUAGUUUAGUUGGGCUUUUUGGCGCUGGUUUUUCGUGAUUUCUCAUGAAAUUGCCAGGUCUGCCAACUUUCCUCCAAAUACUGAUAUCUCAUUGGCGGAAAAACGUUUGGUGGGCCAGGGGAAGGGGUACUUUGGCCAUUUCGUGGUGUUGCCACGUAUGCCUACCCCUCCAAAUACCAAAAUGCGGGGUACUGUAGUCAUUUCCAAUAAUUGCCACGUAUGCCAACCUCCUCAUUUCUGGUAGGCGAACUGGGAACGCGGGAAAGGUAGGGAGAGCCAGAGAGGUGCUGUCGUCGUUUCAUCUCUGGUAGAGAGAGCCGGGAAGGUAGGUGAAUCGAGAAAAUGAUCUUCCUUUUGGAAAAGGUCGUUUUGAAACCAAAACUAAAAAAAAAACGAACUGACCUUUUGAAAGAGUGAGAGAGAGAGAGAGANNNNNNNNNNNNNNNNNNNNAAACGUAAACGUAAGUAGUAGUAGAGAGAGAGAGAGAGAGAGAGAGAGAGAGAGAGGGAGAGAGCAAGUUUUUUAUGUGGCCUGGACAGAUAUUUGUUAUUGGACCCUAACCCGUUCUAAAAGCCUGUUUAGGCCAAAUUGGGCCAGGUCUGAACUCUCCAGAGUCAAAAUUACUGUUGAUUCCCGCUCUUUCCCUGUUUACGCCCAAUUCCAUAUGAAUUUAUACAGAAAGUGUUUGCACGUAAAUGAUUUUAAGGCAAAAAAAAAAAAAAAAAAACUUGGUCCUGUUACAGUAGAGUUGGCGGUAGCUGCUUCAAUUACGUGGUAGAGAUAGAAAUCACAGUACAGUGUUACACCGGUAGCUCCUUGUUCUGGUCCUUGGUUUCAUCAUGGUUUGCCGAAGAACGCCUCCUCUUGAUCAGAUCCUUCAAUUUGUCAUAAGCACGACCAAGUACUGCGCUACUUCCCAUCAAGCUGCCCUUCAUCAGCUUUACUACUUGGAAUUCACCCAAGGUUACAACAAGAGCUGCAACUGCACUUUCACAUAGUGUUUUAGAGUAUUGGUAUGACUUGAUCGCAAGGGUAACGAAACAGAUGCUCCAGAAGAAGAGUGUGACCCAUCCGAAAGGCGGAAACAAGAUGAGCAACUCCAAAAUAGAAGCAAGAGUUCCAAGCAAUAGGCUAAUGUUAUUCAUGAAUUCAACGAAGUCUGUAUUACUGUGAUUGGUUUGGAUAAUCAUGACACCAAAUGAUCCACAGUAAGCAGAUAUGUCAAUGAUAAAUAGCCUCAUGAGUACAAUGUGUCUGUAGUCCAGCACAAAUGGAGACGCAGUUGUGAACUUCAGUUGGAGGCAAAGGCCUAAAAUGGUGAUGAGAAAGAAAAUGCAUUUGUGCAAUGCCAUUACAGAACUUCUCCAAUUUGCAAACUCCUCUAUUUUGUUGCUGUGAGGAUCAUUACAACAUCAAUUGGAGCGCGAUAUCAUUGAAAUUUUAUGUACAUGAUGUUAGUGAGCUAACAAGAAAGUAUUAUCAAAUUUGUGAGCUAUAUAGAUCAGUAAGACUAUGAAGAAAUCUAUAAAUAAGAGAAUUAGCAGAGUUCCCCUUGUUCUAUUUUCGUCAAUAUCAGUGACAGAUCUUUGAUUUUCUUUAACUAACAAAUAUGUCCCAUUGGAUUUUCGGGAUUUCAAGAAUAGCAAAUAAUCCCAGAACAGAACAACUAUGCAUGGCUACUAACUAAUGAAAAUCAUAUUAACAAAGAGAACUGGUGUCAUAUGCCAGAGGUUAUGACAGAGAAUGUAGUCAUAAAUCAUAGUCAAACAUCCAUAUGUCCGGAGAAAAACAGCAAACAUUAACAAGUUAUUACUGACACUAAACUUGAGUGAAUAUGAACACUUGAUGCUAUUCAGUCGAAAAACUUUGUUCUUUGUUUACUUCUUUAAGGAUGGAUUUGGUGUAACAAUUUAAUUAAACUAUGUCAUCAUUCGAUGACCCCUUUCUUUCUAUGCCAUCUGGGUUCGUUUUCAAUUCAGUAUUUGAGAUUUUCAUGUUAUGUCCCUCAGUCCCUGUUAUUUUUCAGUGAAAUAUCAAAUAUGGAACAAAGUAGCUCUGUUUCAAUGAGCUUAUUUUCUGUUUAUAGUUUAGGCCUUGAUACUAGUCCAUCGUUUACCCUACAAAAUUAGGCAUGUGUCUUCAGUUCUGCUAGGUACGUUGGUGUUUUUGGAGGUGUAAGAACAGUUAGGCUUAUUGGAGGUUUAUCGAGAACCGAGGCAGUCAGGCAGAGGCCUUGGGGUAAAUGGGCGUCAGAAAUUUGUAAUCAACCUCCUGAGGUGAUCAUUCCAUGAAGAACACCUAAUGUAGUGUCUAUCUAUUUCAGAAGAUAAGGAAGUACCGAAGUAGCAAGUGCUGUAUCCAGAGCAAGGUAGCAAAUUUGAACUAAUUAAGGAAGACAUUUCAGAUAAAAAUAAAACAAGAGGAAAGAAACAAGGAAGAGAACAACCAAAGCAAAAACAGUAGUGCAGGUGCAGAUAUACUAACACUUGUGAAGGUUGAGAGUUAACAGAUGUGCCGUUUUCCAUUGAUUCCACGAACAGCUUUCUGCAGAGCUCUUCUUACUCUUGAAACAAGCCAACGUAGACUGUGGAUGAUACCAUACAAACUUACAAAGACUUCAAAGAUUUGGAUUUAAAGUGGCGCUACUGCAUGUGGAGGAUACCAUACAAACGUCCUUCUCUCAGUUCUCUGUUGGUUUUCCACGUUAGAGGGAAAUGUCUAAACUGUCCACACGAAUUGAACGUCUCUAUUUACAAAAAUCAAGAAUCAACAGGAGACAACCGUAAGUUUCCGUAAGAGUAGAGGUUUCAGGUUUGGUCCGCAGACCGCAGUCAACCAACUAAAUGGUAGUGGAGGAGGUCGUUUUCUUGAGGCAUGAUGGUGAUGUUGAUCGAGCUUCUCAUUUCUUUUGGUAGUGAAAUGAAGGAAACUACAUCCUCAAAAAACAAGAAAUGAAGAAAACUGAGGACAUCAUCACUUUUUCAUUGAUAUUCGUCUCUAAUAUGACUAGCAAGUAGCAACACAUGUCAUACUCCAUGCCUUUUGUUCCCAGAAAUAGAAGCAGACAGUCCGACAGUGAAAAAGGUUUCUUAUUGUAAAAGUUAAACUGUUGGAUGUCUGGAUUAGUUGUUAAAGUCCCUAUCAAAAGGGGCCUUGCAAUUGCCUUUUGUUCUUGAAGUUGAACUGUCAAGUUUCGAUUUGCUUAGCUUUCUUCUACGCUUUAAUUUUUGGUUAUAUUGACUUGGUUCAGAUGAGAUAUUGGCUUACUUCACCUCGUUUCAUUUUCUUUAAUAAAAUCUCAGGUAUUAUGGAUUUCUUCUCCAUCCUGUUCGGAUGAGGAAAAAAAAAAAAAAAACAAAUUCAUACACGGCCAAUUCCUCAUAGACUACUCGACUCUGAUGUAGGUUCAGCAGGACACCCAAAGAACCGAUAUAUAAUAAUCAAGAGACAC